rnacentral:lncRNA from 1 species
AACAAAAGCAUCACGAUCGUCAAAACCGAUAAGCAGAUCAUGACCGUCCGAUCAUCGAUCUGGUGACGGAAGACCACGAGAGGCUCGUCGCGGAGGAAGUAGAGGAAGAUCCAGAAGACGACCAGGACGGCCAAGACGAGGAGCGAGGUUGGGUGGUAGACGAGGCUCAGGAAGAGGACGAGGAGGACGACGACGGCGUAGUUGGCUCGGAAGUAGACGAGGUUCGUCUUGAUCCUCGAGAUCGCGUCGAAGAAGCCGUGUGGGAGGUUCGUGGAUUGGAGAUCGAACAUCGUUUUCCAUGGGCGGCGCGUGGCGAGACCUGAUUUGAUGCGGUGUUUUGCGCGUGAGAUGUACUCGAGAUCAAUCGGCGGAGAUGGAUGAGAGGACGUCGGGAUCGCGCCGUAGUUCAUUUCGUUUCACGCGGCGUGUGGAGAGAGAGAGAGAGAGGGUUGAAGAGCUACGGAAUGAGAUUUGUUUGUUUUAUCAAUAAAUAAAUAAUACAUUUAUGUAUUUUCUGGAAAAAGAAAAUUAAUGUGUUUUUGCGGCUAGUAGUCCCUAUGUAUUAGGUAAUAGUUCGUAUGUACAUAUAUUAAACAUGUACUAUAUAAAAAUAUUUAAAAUUCUUGUUUUUUAAAGAAAUAUUACUCCCCUGCGUGCUCCCUAAUUUUUUUUCACUUUCUUCCCUAAAUGGCUAGUUUCGGUCCAGCCGCACGCGUUACGCCUAGCGAAUUUUCAAACAUGGAGUAAUACCGUAAUAGUGCAGGCAUCAUACGGAUAAAAAUAAUAAAGUAGAUAACAUACCAAAUAAAUACAUAAUUUCUAUAUGUUACUGUUAAAUACUCCUGCACAGUAAUAUCAUAAUCUAUAUAUUAUUUGAAAAUAUUAUAUUAUUGUGAUGUUUUUGUUAACACUAAUAUAUCUAUUACAAAUUUUGAAACUAUUACAAAAAAUAUAAUCAAUAAAUUUAUUUGUCUUACAACAUUUGCGUAUAACAGUUUUAUUUGUCCCAUUUAAAAAGAACAAACUAUUUGUAUCAUAAUCCUAUUUUUUCACUAAGCAGAAAAUGUUAUGUAUUUUUUAUUAAUUUAUAAACAAUAAUAAAAAUAUUUUUACAUAUCUAAAACUCCAAGUUUCUUAUAUAAAAUGAUAUAAUGAAAUAUUAAUCAAACAGAGCUUUUAGCACUAUAUAUUUUGGUGAUAUUAAUUUUUUUUUUUUUUGAAUGAAUUAAUUUUCAACUAAAAACUAUAAUUGCUAAACAAUCUGUGACGCUCGCCUUUUUCUGUUCAACUGACAACCGGUAUCAUAUUCUAUUUCAUACUUGUAUAAUCUGGGAUUAAAUUCCAUAAGAAUAUUAAUCCAGUCCUUAGUAUAAUUUGAGAUUUGUUUGAUGGUUUUUCCUCAUUCCGAAGUAUACAAAAUCACUAGCCAUCCUUUUACAACAUAAACCAAAUAAAAUCAUCAGUUAUUUUCUGAAGUUGCACAAACACAAAGAUUAUAAGAACUUCUCUUCUUAUUAGAUUUAGAAACUCUCUCAAAACUAAAUCUUUCGAUGUGUUUCUGUUGAUAGAACAUCUCUCCAUGAGAACUCUUUAUAUAGGAAGAAGCUACAUCUUUUCCUAAAGGCGAAGCUACAUAUUUUCCUAAUAAUAAUAUGGAAACAUUACUAAGCUCGAUAUGUUUUCUUUUUUCUUUAACCCAUCAAACUUCACUUUAAUGAGUUAACUUGCUCCUCUGAAGCUUCCGUCGCCGCCGCAGCUUCCUCAUCAAGAUACAAAUUAUCACUCCUCCUAACCGCCGCGUGUACCAAAACCAACACCACAGCCGUCGCCACCGCCCCGAGAACAUUCGCCGUCGCGUGCGUGAACAAAAGCAUCACGAUCGUCAAAACCGAUAAGCAGAUCAUGACCGUCCGAUCAUCGAUCUGGUGACGGAAGACCACGAGAGGCUCGUCGCGGAGGAAGUAGAGGAAGAUCCAGAAGACGACCAGGACGGCCAAGACGAGGAGCGAGGUCGGGUGGUAGACGAGGCUCAGGAAGAGGACGAGGAGGACGACGACGGCGUAGUUGGCUCGGAAGUAGACGAGGUUCGUCUUGAUCCUCGAGAUCGCGUCGAAGAAGCCGUGUGGGAGGUUCGUGGAUUGGAGAUCGAACAUCGUUUUCCAUGGGCGGCGCGUGGCGAGACCUGAUUUGAUGCGGUGUUUUGCGCGUGAGAUGUACUCGAGAUCGAUGGGGGGAGAUGGGUGAGACGACGUCGGGAUCGAGCCGUAGUUCGUCAUUUCGUUUCACGCGGCGUUGGGGGGAGAGAGAGAGAGAGAGAGAGAGAGGUUGAAGAGAUUUGUUUGUUUUUAUCAAUAAAUAAAUAAUACAUUUAUGUAUUUUCUGGAAAAAGAAAAUUAAUGUGUUUUUGCGGCUCAGUCCCUAACAAUUGGGUUUGUUUUCUAUUCUAUACAUGAUAAAUCUAGUUGGGUCAAACCCGCUAGUAAACCUACUUAGUGCAUGCAUCAUAUAGACAAAAAUAAUAAAGUAGAUAACAUACCAAAUGUCGACAAAAUACCAAAUAAAUACAUAAUUUCUAUAUUUUACUGUUAUAUACUCCUGCACAGUAAUAUAUAGAAUAAAAAAUUCUGUAAAAUAUUUGAAAAUAUUAUAUCAUUCUGAUGUUUUUGUUAACACUAAUAUAUCUAUUACAAAUUAUGAAAUUAUUAAAAAAAAAUAUAAUCAAUAAAUUUAUUUGUCUUAAAACAUUUAUGUAUAACAGUUUUAUUUGUCUCAUAUAUUUUAAAAAGAAAAAAAACAUUUGUAUCAUAAUCCUAUUUUUCACUAAGCAGAAAAUGUUAUGUAUUUUUUGUUAAUUUAUAAACUAUAAUAAAAGUAUUUUUACAUAUCUAAAACUCCAAGUUUCUUAUAUAAAAUUAUAUAAUGAAUUAUUAAUCAAACAGAGCUUUCAUGAGUUUUAGCACUAUAUAUUUUGGUAAUAUAUUUUUUUUUUGAAUUAAUUAAUUUUCAACUAAAAACUAUAAUUAUUAAUCUAUCUGUAACACUCGCUUUUUUUAUGUUCAACUGACAACCGGUAUCAUAUUCUAUUUCAUACUUGUAUAAUCUGGGAUUAAAUUCCAUAAAAAUAUUAAUUCAGUCCUUGUAUAAUUUGAGAUUUGUUUGAUGGUUUUCUCCAUUCCGAAGUAUACAAAAUCACCAGCCAUCCUUUUACAACAUAAACCAAAUAAAAUCAUCAGUCAUUUUCAAUAUUCAGUUACUCUCAGUUAAAAGGAUUUUAGUGUUUAUUUUGAGUUUUGACAUGUAUGGAUUAGUGUCUUUGGACAUAGUUAAAAAGGAUUAUUUUGUCAUCAUCAGCCACAGAACGUCGUAUUAAAUUGGGUCCCAAAGUGCUAUUUGCUGCAGCUUCUUAAUGCUACUGUGUUAGACGUGGCUUAUGGCUUAUCCCACAUGAAAUUUACCAAGACCACCAUACAUUUUCUUAGUAUCUCCCCCUUUAUCCCAAAACUUAUAUUUCGAUACACUUCAAUAGUUUGCUUUUACAACUCGUAGUGAUAAACCAAAGCCGAAUGCUUGAUUUGUAUUCCAAGACACUUCAACCUUUAAAUUAAUACACAUAUAAAAUAUGUUGUUGAAUGUUUUCUUUAAGAUUGUCCUUGGAGAAUCCUCCAAGUUUAACCAAAAGCCAAAAGCAUAUAUAUAAUAAACCAGGCACAUCCUUGUGCAUUAUGUAACUGACCCAGCUUCAGCACACAUAAUCGCAGAAACGUUUCUCUCAUACACUUAUAGAUCCAUUUUCGUACAAAUGGAGCUUGAGGAACAGAAGAAGUUCUUCCAUGGAACACUCGAGAUUACAAUCUUCGACGCAACCCCUUUCUCUCCUACAUUUCCUUUCAAUGUACGUAUUAUGUUGUUAAAGAUGAAGAUAACAUUUUGUUAAUUCUCAUGAGCUGCUUGUUAUCUUAUUCGCAGUGUAUAUGUACGAAGCCAAGACCAGCUUACGUGACCGUUAAGCUAAACAAGAAGAAAGUUGCUAAGACAAGCUCAGAACAUGACCGUGUCUGGAACCAAACUUUUCAGAUCCUCUGCGCACAUCCGGUUUCAGACACGACGAUCACAAUCACGCUCAAGACUCACUGUUCUGUUCUCGGAAGAUUCCGAAUCUCUGCAGAACAGAUUCUCACUUCUAAUACAGCAAUUGUCAACGGGUGCUUUCCUCUGACUACAAAUAACGGAUCAACGAAACCUAACUUGAAGCUCAAGUGUAUGAUUUGGUUCAGACCGGCUUAUCUAGAACCGGGAUGGUGCAAAACGCUCGAAGGAGAGCCUUUUCAAGGUAUUAAGAACGCGAGCUUCCCUCAGAGAUCGAACUGCAGAGUUGUAUUGUACCAAGACGCGCACCAUAAAGCCACGUUUGAUCCUAGGGUUCAUGAUGUUCCUUGUAAUGCAAGAAACCUAUGGGAAGAUGUUUAUAAAGCGAUUGAUUGCGCUAGGCACUUAGUUUACAUCGCAGGAUGGGCAUUAAACCCUAAUCUCGUUCUCGUACGGGACGAUGAAACAGAGAUUCCACACGCAGUGGGAGUAACAAUCGGUGAGCUUCUGAAACGCAAAGCACAUGAAGGCGUAGCGGUGAGAGUAAUGCUGUGGAACGACGAGUCGUCUCUACCGAUGAUCAAGAACAGAGGUGUAAUGCGAACAAACGACCAAACAGCUCUUGCUUACUUCAGAGACACAAGUGUUGUUUGUAGACUCUGUCCAAGAUCGCACAAGAAGCUCCCCACGGCUUUCGCACAUCACCAAAAGACCAUCACGGUGGACACACGUGUAACGAAUACAAAUACAAAAGAGCGAGAGAUCAUGAGCUUCCUCGGCGGUUUCGACCUCUGCGAUGGUCGUUACGACACAGAGGAGCAUUCUCUGUUCCGUACAAUCGGGACAAGUGAUGAUUUCUAUCAAACAAGCCUCGCUGGAGCUAAGCUAAGCAGAGGAGGACCAAGAGAGCCGUGGCACGAUUGCCACGUGUGUGUGGUCGGGCCUGCAGCUUGGGAUGUUUUGAAGAACUUCGAACAAAGAUGGACCAAACAGUGUAACCCUUCUGUUUUGGUCAACACCUCAGGGAUAAGAAACUUAGUAAGCAGUGCAAACACUGAAGAAGAUGACAGGAACUGGAACGUUCAAGUCCUGAGAUCGAUAGACCACGUGUCGGCUACGGAGAUGCCUAGAGGCUUACAGGUUGAGAGGAGCGUACACGACGGCUACGUCGCAGCGAUUCGGAAAGCAGAGAGGUUUAUAUACAUUGAGAAUCAGUAUUUCAUGGGAGGCUGCGAGCAUUGGGAGGGGAAGAACGGAAGCGGAUGCACAAACUUGAUACCCGUUGAAAUAGCUUUAAAGAUUGCGGCUAAGAGAGAGGGAGAGGUUUGCUGUGUAUAUAGUGAUACCAAUGUGGCCUGAAGGGCCACCGGAGAGCGAAACGGUCGAAGAGAUGCUUCAUUGGACGAGAGAGACAAUGUCUAUGAUGUAUAAAAUCAUUGGAGAGGCGAUAUGGGAAACUGGAGACGGGUCGCAUCCGAGAGAUUACUUAAACUUCUUCUGUCUCGCAAACAGAGAAGAGAAGAGAGAAGGAGAGUAUGAAGCAGUUUCGUCACCGCAUCCCAAAACACAGUACUGGAACGCACAGAGGAACCGGAGAUUCAUGGUCUAUGUCCACUCCAAGAUCAUGAUAGGUUUGGUUUAAACCCCUAACCUGAAACAAAACUGAAGAUUGUUUACUUAUUAUUGUCUCUAUGUGUGUUUGUAGUGGACGACGCAUACGUUUUAAUAGGAUCAGCCAACAUAAAUCAGAGAUCAAUGGACGGUUGCCGUGACACAGAGAUUGCAAUAGGUUGCUACCAAAGAAAUACAACCAAGACCAAUGAGAUUCGAGCUUACCGAUUGUCGCUCUGGUACGAGCAUACAGGUGGCCAGAUCACAGUGGAUGAGUUAUCUUUCUCGGAGCCAGAGAGUCUUGAAUGCGUCCGAGGAUUAAGAACAAUGGGGGAGCAGAUGUGGGAUAUUUACAGUGGAGAAAAGGUCGUGGACAUGAACGGUGUACACUUGGUUGCGUACCCCAUUAGUGUGACGAGAGAUGGUGUGGUUGAGGAAAUCGGCGACGGAGUUUUUCCUGAUACCAAGACGUUGGUGCGAGGGAAAAGAUCCAAGAUGUUGCCUCCGGUUCUAACAACAUGAAAGAAAAUGUCAGAAUCAGAAUCAUGACUUGCAAUGUUAUAUGUAUUAAGUAACUUUCAACUUGUUGAUUAUGAUAUUAAAACGCAUUUAGAUGUUGACUAUGUAAAGAUGAUUGUAACACACUUACUGGUUUCUAUAAUGACCAUUUUGGUUCCUUUUUCGAUUCCAACUAGUAGAUGAUUGGCCUCGAAGUCUGUCCUUUUCAAGCUUUGUUUCCUGCAACGAAGAGAAGAAUAAUUAAAACCUGUAAAGACCACAACAGAGCAGUUUUUUAAUAGUGAAAAUCUCAUGCAAUGCCUACAAAUGCUACAUGACACGAAAGAGCGAAUAUAUCUACACAUAUGUGUCUAAGAGGUGAAACGGGUAUGGAGCUUGAAGGACAAUUCUUUUCGUGUCAACGCUCAUCAAAUGCCUGAGUACAACUAUCCCUUCCCGUACCGUGUAUUGUUCCAAGAAGAUUAAUUAUUGGAAGCUUUGAAGCUUUGCAGUGCUGUACCAAUCAUCUUGCAGAUUCAGAGUAACCACUCUAAUCUACCUUAACAUGCUGAUCUGUAGAGAAUACAGUUCCACUAGAGUUCCAUCUGUAGUCGAUAAGGACACAAGAGGGAGAACUUUUCUGAAGAUGUAGGUCGUUUUCAUCAAUUCCCAGCUGUGUUUUAAAAAUGAGAGAUGGUAGAGCCUCCAUGGUGCACUAAGGAGCGCGCCUUAUGGAUCAAUGUUUCCUGAAAAGAAAUCCUUCUUAGAUGACCCCGCACAAGCACUCCUGCUUUUAGCACGUCUGCUUUUGGUGGAAACCCGUUCAGACAACUUGUUCCUAUGAAGAAAGUCCCUUCUUGUUCGACUCUGUCCCAAGCACCUGCUGCACACGAUUACUCCUCUUCCAACAGCUUCUCCCGCUUUGAUUCAUUCAACAGACUCGAUAUGCAGAACAUGUGAGCCUAACCCAUUCACAUCCAGAUUUGAUUCUUUCAACUAUCAAAGAUAUGAUUCUUCAAUGCACAAAGCUAGCACCAACAACGCACCCAAGACACCUAAAGCGUCAUUGACGAGAUUCAACUCAAAUGGAGACACCAGAAACUUCAAGGCGCACCUUCGCCGCGCUUAAGGCGCCUUAGAACACCAUGGCGUCUGGGUCUGCGCCUUGCGCGAAGAAAGAGCGCUCUUCUUAAAACAGAGUUUCUCAGUCUUCGGAAAAGAAGUAGACAAAGUUACAUCCUGGUCAAACCUACACCGAUCUACUUUCAGAUCAAUAUAAACCCUCAACGCUUGAAAUUAAAGCAGUAGCUGUCAGCUCCGGGCUUAAGUGAGCUGAUCCUAUGUUUUACUCAUCUACAAAAGCUUUGCCUUUAUUCUUAUCUAUAGAUCUCUCGCAGGCUCCAGAAACUUCACAUGGCAUAGAUAAUCCUGUCCAGUCAAUUCUAAAGAACUUUUCUUCCACGCAACAGCACAAAACAAUGUAGUGAGCCAUCUUCAAGCACAGCUACUUCUCCAUCAGUCCAGCAAUUCAUUUCUAUCAACAAUCUACUGUGAAAUCUAGGAGAGUCUCACAAAUCCUCUAGAAAAAAAUGACUGAUUCAACCUCCAUUGUCACAGCACCAAAGAGAAUCCAAGAUUUAUGUGGCAAAAAUAAUAUUGCGGACACAGAGAAACAAAAAUGAAUCGGUUAUAUGCAAAAAAUUAAAGACUUAUAUGAGGACCUAUAUGCCAAACAAAACAUAGCUAACCUCUAGAAGAUAUAACCAGAAAUUACAUAAAUAAACUUUCUCGUAAGCGAAGUUUUCUUGGGAAGAUCGAAUACCUGACUCGUUGGAAGAUCUUUUUUUUUUUGUAAGGCACAUCAACAUCCUUGGAAAGAAAAAACUGAUGUACCAUCAACAUGACCUACAAGGCCACUGACGAUCCCUUGAAAUAUGGAAAAGUUCAUCUCUGAAGGCAAAAUAACUGAUAGGAGCAGAAGGUACGUUGAAGCUUGUGCCGCCUCGAAGACAGAGAUGUUUAUCUCUUCAGGCAACUACUAGGAACCAAACAUAGCAGCUAAUUAUAGAAUGCAUCACCGUAUUUUGCCACACAGCACAUGAACGAAGAUUUUCUCUCUUGCUCGUCGUGAAAGCUCCAGAAAUAAGAAAUAAACUUCUGCAUCAGAAUGGCUUCAUCAACGCUGUCCUAACAGAGUCGUUAUCAGCUGUCUGCCCACCUUCAAUAUUUCCAGAAAGCUCAGAUCUAGACAGAUAAUUACAGACUCAUGGUAACUUGAAGGCCCGCUCAUCAGCAAAUGCAGGAGUCCCCAUGAAGGCCUCUGAUUAAGGAACUCGAUGAAACGUCGCUUUGAUAUGUCCAUCUGUCAUCCAUGAGUUAUAAUCUUCACCCAGCCUCCUAACUUCUGAACUCAUUUUAUGUUGUUCGGAAUGAUAUUCAAUCUAUGACAUUGAGAUUCUGGCACCCAUCAGAAAAUGCUGUGCAUCAGCUCCAAAUCACCUUUCUUCCAUUGGCUAGCACCGUGAAAUAUUAUUGCUCAACGGAACCGAUACAAUCUCAAGAUCUCAAACAAGACCUUGAGCCUUCAAAUCCGGAGAACAACCUCUCUGAACUUGCUUUCAGAUGCAGAGACACUCCUCUGAUUUGCCUAACAAUUCUCUAUGAUCUUCUGAUACCCCUCAACAACUCUCGUAGAUCUUUAUUUAUACUCUCCAAGUUCAGUAACCGCCAAGCGUCUUUAUGAAUCAACAACUUCACUUCCUUGCCAACACCGCAACCAUCAGCCACAUCAGCACUAGCAUUCAGUAUCUAUCAUUAUCAUGACUCGAAGGCCAUAGAGGACCAAUGUCUCUGUUCCUCCCAUAUGUUGUGCCUUCCAAUGGUUCCAGUUUCCACUUCACCUUAACUGAGAUUCUCUUGUAUACCUUAAAUUUACUAGAACAUUACAUAACACCACCACAUAAAAGCAAUGACCCGUGGAAAAUCUCUCUCUUUCAGCUUCCAUAAACAAGCAAUUGCAACUCGACAGUUUCCCAAAAAAUGUGGCCGAAAUCAACUACAUUCUCUCAAAUAUCUCCUUAGGCCAAGUAUUUAAAGCCUUUAACCCCUUAGAAAGGGGUUAGGUUAGCUCACCAGAUCUUUAUAAAUAAGAAUACAACAGAAGAAAGGAGUGUGGGAUUGAAGCACGAAGAGAGUAAUGUCAUACAAAUACAACAAGGGCAUCCUCCUCUGAGGUUUCUAUCAGAGGGAUUAUCAUUUACAAAACAAUCAAAGCCAGAGAGUAAACGAGGCGAGCAGAAAAAUAAGAGGGAUAAGAGGACAUAGCUAUUAUCAAACAGGAAAAACCAAAUCAUUGAAUUAUAGAAACAUACGACAUAGUUUAGCCAUCUAACUUACAUAAUUAAAAUGCCUUAUUGAGAGAUCAGAAGAACUAACGUUUUGAUUUAGAGUAGAUAUGCAUAACCAUAAAAAGCCACAGGAGUGUUUCAAAGUGCCCAAUUUAGACUCACCUCAUUCUCUUUUCCCAGGAUGGUUGAUACGAUUCAGUGACGAUCCAAGCGAGGUUUCUUCUGCGAGCCAGACCCAUGGCUGUAAUAUUGACUCCUUUCCGAAGAUCCCUAAGAAACAAGCAAAAUAAUAUGACGUGUCAAAGUACAAAUUCACACUUAAAAAAAAAAAAUCACAUGAUACAAGGAUACAAGCACACGUACCAGAAAACCAUCGGUUUCUCCAUAAGAACCACGGUAAGCGCCAUCCAUAGUGCCGAGAUUCAUCCCAUAUGAUCCACCUGGACACAUAACAUAUCACACCAAAUCAGUUAGCGACUCUAAUGAAACACCAGGACAGAUCUAGAUUAGGAGAGUCAUAAUACCAAAACCCCACGGCCUACUAUCAACAGUAGCAAGCUCUGCUCGUAGCUUUUCAACUUCACGCGCCAUAGAAACCAUGUUCUUUUCCAUUAUCUGCCUCUGUUCAAUAAGCUCAAACUUUUCCUUCUUCUCAUAGUCAAUAGCACCUCUGUUCCAACAGAAAAACAAUUCCUUUUUAGCAUUUAAAAAGCGAAACCAUAUGUCACUUAGUAACAAAAGGUUCAAUCUUUCUACCUAGCGUGCAUAAGCUCCUUCUGCAUGUCCUCAACCUCAGCUCUCAAACCCGGAAUCUGCUUGUUAUCCGACUGCAACUUCACCAAAUCCUUCCUAAGUAUCUGAACGUCUCCACUUAGUUCACGCUUUAUCUCACUCAGCUUCUGAACUUCGCCGCGCAGCUGAGAAGCCUCCUUCUUGUAAGACUCCAUAGCACGAAUAUCACCCUCAAGUUUAUGCCUUUUCUCACUGAACUCCCUCGACUGCAGAUCCUGCUCAGCACGGAGAUCAGAGAUUAUCAGGUUCAGACGGUGAAGCUCUUCCUUAGCUGCACCGAGCUCUCUCUCCAGAAGCACACGGUCGUCAGCUAGUCUGUGGUUAUCACUCAAAAGCCUCCGGAUUUCAGCUUCUUGCAUCUGAAGAUCUUCUAAGAGUGAAGAAGGUGGAGGAGGGGCGCGAAGGAAUGGUCUCUCGGGAGUAAAACGACGUCGAUCAUGGUAAGGGUCUUGAACCUCUCGGUGAUAACGGUCUCUUCCAGACAUUUCUGAAAAGACAAAAGACACACACCUCAACACUAUCAUUAUAAUAGCAGAGAAAGCAGCUAACUUCACAAUUACCCAACUCUCAAAAUCUACAAAACGACGUCACUUUCUCGCUGUAACAAACCAGAAUCAUCAAUGUAAGUUUGGGAUCAACGAGAAAAGAUGCGUUUCUCCAUACGUAAGAAAUAAAUUAGGGAUUUUCAAGAUCAACGGAAUCAAAAUCAAGCUAAACCUCAAUAGAAUCAAUUUCGAAAUUGGAUUGAUCGGAGCAGCUUGACGAUUAACGUACUUAAUAUUAGCAGAUUAUUAGCAGAUUAAUUUUGGUUAUUUAAGAUGCAAAGAUGAUAAUCUAUAGAUUGAUAUAGUGAAAAAAAACAGUCGGAAGAGAAAGAAAAGAGCGGAAACCUCUUCUGCUGCAGAGCGGAGAUCGUCUUCAAUUCAACCUAUUGUUUCUAUCGGCUUUGCUUUUGAAGUCUCUCUCUAUUGGAACGGAGAACUUUUGUACGUGGCUAAGGUAGAGACGAUGUCGUUUUGAUAGUCUUCUGUUAAUAUUUACUGGGCCUUUAAUGGGCGUUUUGUUUCUAACAGAAGACUAUUGGUUAGAAAAAACAAAACCUUAUUUCUAUCCUUUUAUUAGUGAAAUUUUUCCUUAUAAUUAUUUUUUCUUACAUGUGAUAUUUUUCCAAUUUAUUCUAAGAACAAUAGUUAUUUUAAUAUAAUUCAUUUUAAUAUGGUUUAAAGUUUUUUUAACACUUGUUAAAAAUAAUUGUUUUUUUUGUUUGUCUUUAACUAAUUUGUUAUUUUGUUUAAUUUAGUUAACUAAUACAUUUAUAAAAUAAAGGUAAAACCAUAAAAUUGUCAAUGUUCUAAAAAUGUAAAAUGAAAUAUAUGAUAAGAAAAUUAAAGCAAAAAUAAUUAACAUCGAUGAAACAGAAUAGAUAAUAUUAUUUAACCUAAAUGAGUAAAUUGUUUCAUCUCUGCGUAAGAAUAAUACACAAGACACAAAAUUCCCAAAUUUUGUAUUGAGUUCUCAAAGUUUGAAAAAUACAAAUUUACAAAAAGAAAAAAAUGAAAAUUAUUUAUUUAAUAUUUCCCCCGUAAAAAUGUGAAAUAUACUUCACUAAAGAAUCAAUACUGAUUAAGUGAGUGUGAAUCUUCACAUUCGCUGAAAGGUGACACUCUCUCGCCAUUGAUUUGGGCAGACUUUAAGCUCCAAGCAUUUAGGCCCAAGACAUCAACACUUUGAGUUCCCUUGUUGAAGACAAAGAGAUUUGUAUUUUCUCCUAUUGCCAAUUUUGGAUACACUCGAGAAGUUAUACAUACUUUGCCUCCUCCACCAUAACUCUCCACUAUAGAGUGGUCAAUCUACAAAGUAAUAGUCAAAAAUAACACUCAUCAUUUCCCUACUAUGAUGCUCUAUUGAAGCAUACUCACUAGAUAGUUGGUACAAGACAUCUGUCUGAGAUCAUAUCUUUACGUAUAAUUAUAACUUACCAAAGUCCUAAGAGAAAGUGUUUCUUGAGAAGGGUCUAUUGCUACAAAAGCACCAAACGUUGCUUUAUCAUUUUCUUCAUUCAACGAAGAUCUGUAUACGAGUGCCAUAACAACAAAGUUAGCAGUUCAUGUAAAUACGAAAAGAAUCUGAAUGUGUCUUUGAGUUGGUGUAUAAAGAUCACAUACCUGCUUUGGUCACUGCACAUCAAGACUACGUACUUAGUAUCAUUUGACUUGAAGAUUCUGAAGUAAACUGAUGUGUAUUCCUCCAUGUCAUUUGAUGUCAACACCAUCAAACCAAAUGGCCCUAAACCGGACUUAACCGAUAAAUCUUCCUCACUACAUAUCUUUUGAGGGUCAGUCCAACUUGGUUCAAUCACAUCCGCUUUUUCCAAAUCUUUCACUUUGAAUGAUACAUCAACAUCAGCCUGCUCAAUACCAAAGAUAGAUUCUUAUUUCACGCGGAUCAAUCAUUAAUCUGAUCGAGGUUAAGUAUCGACUCUUACCUGUGCAGCAGUAACACCAUGAACUUGGAUAGUAGACCCUGCCUUAAGAACCUUGUUGUCCCAUUUGACUUGUGUCUCACGCAAGGUCUCAAUCUCUUCAAUCGGCCAUUGUAGCAGCUCAUUUCCCGAUUCACCAAGCCAUAUUUUUCUUGGAAAUGACUGUUAAAAUAACAAAAAUCAACUAUUAAUCGAGAUAAACUUCCAAUUGGCGAUUAGUGGACUAGUCCGUAUGCAUAUAACUUAAGAUUUAUUCAAAUGCGACUUUGUUCCUAAUGUAAACAGGUUUACUAGAUUUAACUCAAGAAUUAAUCAAGGGGAAAAUAAAUGUUACCUGAAGACCAGACCAACCCUUCUCAAUAUCAUCCUUAGCAGGUGAAGACUCGUUAACCCAACCCCACAAGAUCCUUCGUUUCUUAACAUCAUCGUAAAACGUUUUCGACGCGUAAAACUUCCCGUAGUCCAACCUCGGAGCCGAACCAUCUUGCACAAACCCAUGAUCCGGUACGUAAACAUCCUUCUCACGGUCGUAACUCCCAAUCGUGUAAUAAUCAUGCAACGUCUCGAUCAAACUAACUUUCAGCACGUGUUUCACCUCACCAAACGACGACGUUUCGAGACAGUCCGUUCCGGUUAUCGAAACCGGGAAAAAAUCAGGACACUCCCACAUUCCGGUUAAGUCUUCGUGGUGAAGAGGCUUCGUCGCUUGCGUCCAGUUGAAGAAAUCUCUGCUCUUGUAAAGAACCGCUAAUCCUCGACGAUCGUCCGUCGAGCUUCCGACGAUGACUCUCCAUUCUCCGUCGUGUCCCAUCCACGCCGUGGUCGGAUCUCGGAACCGGUCGGGGUUGAUUCCGUUGACGGCGUUAGGAGCCAUCAGAGGAUUUGCCGGCGACUUCGACCAUUCUCGGAGAUAUGGAUCGGAGAUGUUAACCGGAACGGCGACGUUUUGGACUUGACUUUUGUUUUGGUCAAUGCCGGUGUAGAGGAUCACCGGUGUGCCGUUUGGUAGAAUCGUGACGGAGCCUGACCAACAACCGUUGAUGUCUGACGGCUGAGAUGGACUGAAUGCUGGAGGCUGUGGGGUCCAGUUAACUAGAUCAAGUGACGUGGAGUGACCCCACACGAUUCUUACAUCCCAAACGGCGCCGUAUGGGUUGUACUGGUAGAAAAGAUGGUAUAUUCCCUUGUAUACCAUUGGUCCUACACAAAAGAAAACAAAUGCAUAUUUUCAAAAUAUAUUAAAAAAUAUGAAUAAAAUUUUAAUAAAGAGAACGAACCAUUAGGAUCUGGAGCAGGGAUCGAGUGGUAUCAGGUUAUCAUCGAACAUAACAGAAAAUAAAACGAUGUUAAUAGAGGAUCAAAAAGACACAUAGAUGAAUACAGGUCAGAUCAAGCUCAGUUUACAUACCGUUCAUCCAAUUACUGGGAGGUUGAAAGUGAUAACCGGUCCGGUACGGUUGGUUGAGAUCUUGGCGUGAAGCUUCAAGAUCGAUGAUAAAGCUGCAGAGCAACAAAGACAGCAGUAACAGUGUUUUCCCCAUUGUUGUUCUGUUUCUUGUUUCUCUCUCUCUCUCUCUCUCUGUCUUACUUGUGGUUGGGUUAGGUUAGGCCUAGACUGUAGAUAUUUUAGUAUCUUAUAUUAAAAAACGAUUUACAUAGCUAAUUAGAUUGUUUAUUAGAAUUUGAAAAACUCGCAUAAUGUUCGUUUUCCAGAUGAUUCAAGGGACUAAAAAUGUACAAGUUGGCACGUUAUUGCAUAUAUAAAUCCAUUAAUCAAAGACCAAACAAUUAACUAAUCUUUAAUUGAUGACAAUUGAGUCAACUAGCAGUUGUUUAUACAUAUUAUCCAAUAUAUUUAUCGGUUACAACUUUUCUAAGUUCUCUAAAGGGUAAAAAACAUAAAACAAUAUAUAUUACUACUCAAAACAUGAAUAACCCGCCAACGAAAAAUGGUGGAACAUAAUUAUUUAAUUUGAAACUUACACACAUGUAAGAACUUGAUACAUGUAGGAUUAUAAUUCAAAUAUUUGAGUGUUAUGUUAUAUAUUAGAAGACCAUAUUUAUAUUUUGUGACUCUGCAACUUGUGUAAAGAUAAUAUGCAAAAGGUUGUAUAACAGUGUUUAAUUUUUCUUAAUUAGUAUAUAAUGUAACAUUUUAUAAAUUUAUAUUUGAACACAAAAAGACAUACAACUAUAAUACUUCAAAAAAUUACAUGAAAACAAAUAAUUUUUUUCUUUAUUUGUAUGUAUACACAAAAUUAUAUAAAAAUGUUGACAAUAACUAAGAUGAAAUAAAGACAUAUAACAUAAAAAUGCAGUUUUAAUAUGAUUUUUAUAUAUCAACUCAAAACAAUAUAAUAUUUCAUCACUGAUCACUAAGAAUUUGAUAGUACUAAUAACUCGUUUUAAUUUUUAACAUUAAAUUCAUCUAUAUGUAGAAAUCCUUGUACACAAUAAUUUUCUUCUGCUUAUCUUUAUCAUAUUAACUAAUUUUUAUUUUUAUCUAUUUUAUAUUCAUUAUAUACAUAUGUAUAUUACUAGUUUCCAUCAACACAGAAUUUAGAGUCUCUAAUUCAACCUUUGGUUCUUCUUUGAGAACCAUUAAUAUGUUUAUUGUAUUUAUGAUUUUUUUUGUCAUUCUUCGAUUUUGAAAAGUAAAUACAUUAGUGGUAUAAAUGAUGACCAAGGAAUGACGAUGAAUAAUGUAUUUCCUAACAUUCAUAGAAAAAAUCACCUUUCACAAGGAAUAAUAUUUCCUUUCAUUCCCUCUCAUUUCUUUCGUAGAAAAAUAAAGAACAAAAUUAUUUCUCGUUAGAUUUGAGAAAAAAUAACCAUUCUUUUUCAUUCCUAAUAUUUUAUUCCUCUACAUUCUUUUCUUGUUCGUUCUUCUUGUUUCCAGAAUGAUCACCAGUCGGAUCCUUAUAUCAAACAAAAUAGUGUUUUUUUCUUCAUCGUCUUAUAUAUACAGAACAAUUCUAAUAAUGUAGAGAGAAAAACCCAAAUGAAACAAAGACUAGUGAAACUAUGUGAAAUUUCAAUUUUUAUUAAUAUUUAUGGUCUCUGAAUAUAUCUCAACUGAAAAAUAUAUGUUUCAUCAUUAAUCCUUUAUAAUUUUGUGCUCAUAGAACUUUUCUCAAUUUAACAUCAAAUUUAUUUAUAUGUAAAAACUUUGGCCUCCAAGAUAAUUUAUUUAAAAUAUUUUUGAUCGAGUGUAUUUUUUAAAAAGUGUUAGCCACCUUAUGAUAUUUCAAGAAAUUUAUCAAAAAUUAUUGCUAUUUUGAAAAUUUUAAAUGUAUUUAAAGGAAAUGUCAAUAAAACACUUUCUCAAACAUUAUUACAUAAAUAUACAGUUAUUAGGUGGAUGGCCCACACAUAAUAUACUUUAUUGAUUAUACAUAAGUUUAUAAAAAUUAUAGAAUUUGUAUGGCCAUUUCAUGAAUAUGUAUAAUACUUAGAGUUGUAUGUAUGUAUAAUUUAAGGUUUAGUGUAUGUUUAUAUAUGAAAUAAGACAAAUACAUAUUGGUUUAUGAAAAUAUAUUUUAAUAUAUUAUAUUAUAUAAACAUAGUAAAUAUAAUAGCAUAAAUAUGUGUAUGUUCUUUGCACAUAUAUAGUUAUUUUUUACUAAAAUUUAUAAAAUUCCAUUAAGUUAGAAACUAUUAAAGAUAUUAUAAAAUUGCUUAUAUAUUUGAAUUAGCAAUGGUUGGUACACCAUUUUCCGUUGAUGGAUAUUCACAUUUUGAGUAAUAAUAUUUAUUUUUAGGGGGAUUUUCAUGUUUACCGCUUUGUUGGUACCAUUAUUCAUGUUUACAAUCACUAAAUAGACAUUUUCAAAAAUACAUUUUAAGCCAAAUAAUUCUUAUACUCUUGUUCUCUCUAUAUAUAAAAAAUAAUACAUAAUGUAACAUUUUAUAAUUUCAAAUUCAAACUUUUUAUAAAAAAAAAUUCGAAUUUUGUUUUCAAAUUUUUUUUUUUUUGAAAAUCAAAAAUUAUUUUUCAAACUACUUUUUUCUAAAAAAAAGUUGUAUUUUUUAAGUAUUUAUUUAUAUCAUUAUUAAAAUCCUAAAUUUCACAAAAUUCCAAAAAAUCAUACAUCGUCCCUUAACUCUACACCCUAAGUUUAGAUUAGUUAACUCUAGGGUUAUAAAUGUUUUUUCCUUCUUUAAAGUUAAGGUAAAAAUGGUUAAUGUAAACAUGAAAUGUUGUAUUAUGAAUUAGGUAUUUUUGGCAAUGUUCCUUAUUUUUAUGUCUUUUACCCUUUCAAAUCUUAGAAGAGUUGAAUCAAAGAGAAAAUAUUGGAUAACAUGUGUAAAAUUAUAUGCAAACAAUAUAUUGUGCAUCAUGGUAUAACAUCAAAUAUGAUUGUUUUUGAUGCAAGGGUACACAUUUAAUUCUCAAUAUUUUGAUCCAUACAAUAAUGUACAAUUAAUUUUUUUUUUGUUCCAUUGGUCUGAAGAGAUAAGAAAGAAAAAUAAACAAAUUGAUUGAUAUUUAAAUAUCUUUACUUAACGCAAAGAACUUGGAUUGAGAUAGAAGACUGUGUUCUAAUCACGGAAGAGCUAGAUGAUUCACAGCGAAUAUCACCCUAAUAUAAUUUGGUUUAUCAUAUUGACCGCUAUAAAAAGUCAAUAUGAUAAACGAUUAACCGUUUUAGACUCAAUGUUUUUUUCAUUUUGACCGAAGUAAUAGAUUUUCAAAUACGAUCCAUAUUUUUUACAACGACAACUUGUUAUGACCAAAUAAUUCUAUUAUUAUUUUAAUACACCAAUUCUUUAAUUUUCCAUAAAUAAGCAAUGCAUUAGUUCAAUUUUUCAUUUACCAUUUUAAUAACCAACUCUAGCUGUUUCAUUUAUUUUACAUUGUAUACAAAUCUUACAUGUUAGUUGAUGAUCACACAUUUAAAAAUUGGCUGUGAUUGCAUCUCUAUCUUUUUAUUUUUUAACUCUUCUUGAUCUUUAACGAUCUUAUACGCAAUUUUGGCUACAUUUAAUAACACUGUGAUCAUUUAUUUUAUAAAAAGUCCAAUCUUGUUAUUCACAGUUGUACUUAUAAAAACUAUUAUUUAUUAUAAAUAAAUUAACAAAUCUUAAAAAAUAUUUUGAUGCUUUAUUGUCGUAUCAACAUAAAUAUUUAGAUAUUUAUUGUUAAAAAAAUAAUAUAUAAUUUUGUUGAACAUUAUCUUUCCAACAUUUAUCGAGAACCCUUGCAAAUAGCUGAGCAUUGACAAUAUCCUUUAAGCUCCUUCUCACAAACACUUUUACCAAUAGGUCCAAAUCGCUUUUUACAAUGAUAAAUACACAGUACAUCACAAGACUUGUGUGUGUCAACUCGGACAUUAUAUGUACACCUUCGUUCCUUUUUUUGCGCAUCUGCCAUCAUUCCUGUUAAAUGCAAAAAAUCUUAAAUUUUGUACGGGAGCAAAUAUAUAGAAGUUUUACUGAAAUAUAAAACUUAUUCAUCAACAAAAAUCUGCUUAAUAAACUUUUGUUUUAAGCAUUAUAAACAAAAAGACAUAGAAGUUUUGUCAGUUAAUAAAAAUGAGCAUAUGAUUUGAUCAUAAUGUCAACUUUUUAUUUUAUGAAAUUUUUUUUUAAUAAUUGUGAACAUAUGAGUAAAAAUUAAAUAUAAAUUUUUUGAUGUUUUCAGAAAAAUUACGGUAGAUAUUGGAAAAGCAUAACGUAUUAACUAUAAAAUAUAAAAAUCUAAUUCACAAUAUUUUGUAAAAUUUACAUAAGAACUCUAGUUUAUUCAUAUUAUAUGAAAAUGGUUGUUAACAUAUUUUAGAGUGAAAGGACAAUUAGGAAAUUUUCAUGUUUACCACAUUGUUGGUACUAUUAUUCAUGUUUAUCUUCAUUAAAGAGAUAUUUUCAUAAAUACUUUUUCAUUAAGAGGCAAAAGACUCUUAUACCUUUAUUUUAUAUAUAAUAAAUAAUUAUUUAAAUAGAUUAAAAAUAAGAAUAUAUAGAAUAUAUUUUUUAUAUUUUUCGAAUUAUACAUGUUCGAAGUUUCUUAUAAAAAUGCUUUUGAAUUUUUCCGAUUUUUUUCUUUCAAAUUUUCUUCUUGAAAUUUCAAAAUUCAUUUUAAACUAUUUUUAUAAAAAAUUAAAAAUAGUUAAGUAUUUAUUAAAAUCUUAGACUCCACAUUCCAAAACUUUAUCCCACCCCUCAACUCUAAACCCUAAGUCUAUAUUAGUUAAUCCUAAAUCUAAAUUAGUUAACCCUAAGGCUAUAAGUGCCUUUUUACCUCUUUAAAAGUGAGGGUAAAAGUGGUUAAAUUAAACAUGAAAAAUGGUAUUAGAAAUGUGAUAUUUUAGGCAAUUUCCCAAAGAAAAUGUAGAGAAAUAGAUGAUAAAAAAAAUGAAGAUAUCUAAAAUUGUUCUAUGAUGGUAUUUCUUCAUCAUGUAUAAAGACUAUACAUUUAAAAACUAAAAAGGACUAAAAUAGAAAAAUAACUCUUAAAAUCUUUUAGGGAUGAUCCUUUUAGGUUUAACACAAAAUAUCUUUGAGUUAGUUUCAAUAUUUCAGGCCAUCUAGGUAUUUAAGAAUUUUACACAAAAAUAUAAUUUAAUGCUAUAUUUUAUAUAGUAAACAAAAAUUAUUAUAUGGGGCUGACUAAGCAUAAAAUUUUAAGGAUAUAGUAUUCUAGUUAAAUUAUUAUAGAAGGAAUUAAUGCAAUAUAUUAAGAUGUAAAUACAAACCUAGUGAGAGAAUGAUAAACAUAGUAAAGAAGGUGAACAAGAAUUGAAGAGAUUUCCUCAUCUUGGAUUAUAGAAAUGGAUUGAUAUUGAGUUAAAAAGUUAGGAAAAAGAUGAAGUAUUCUAUUUCUCACAACAGAAGAAGAAAUAUUCUUACAUAUAUACAUAAUAAAAAUAUCUAAUUUAACCUGCUCACAUUUUUAUGUUCCGUUUUAAACGAAUCUAAUUUAGAAAUUUUUUAACUUUUUCUGGUCAUAUAAUAUGUGAAAGCUUUAGACUCGUUCUCUUUCCUAUAAAUAAAUAUAAUGAUGCGUGUCCUACUAUUGAAAUUAAUUUUGAUGUUCUAAAAAAAUUAGUGCAAUUUUGAGAAUUAUGAAUAUAUUUAAGGGAAAUGUCAAUAAAAUGCUUUGUCAAAUAUUAUUACUUAAAUAUACAGUUAUUAGGUGAAUGGUCCACAUAUAAUAUAAUUUAUAAAUUAUAUAUAAAUUUAUAAAAAAUAUAUACACUUUGUAUGGCCGUUUCAUAGAUAUGUAUAAUAUUUAGAGGUGUAUGUAUGUAUAAUUUAUUAUUUAAUGUAUGCUUAUGCAUGAAAUAAGAAAACUACCUAUUGUAUUAUGAUAAAAUUUUCUCAAUCAACCACUUCGACUGUUCGACACGUUCAAAAGAUAAAUUUUCUUGUAUAACAGUUAAUUAACUGUUUUUUUUUUUGAAAAAUUAACUGUUUUUGUUUCCCUUAUCAUAUAUUUAUUGUUUCUUUUCUUUUCUUAAUAGUUCCAGCUUCAUUGUUGUUUUAGUUUCGUUUGAGUGUGGCAAAGAUUUUUUUUAAAAGUUCAUUUUUCUUUCUUUUUUCUGAAAUCAGUUUCCAUGAUUAUGGAGGUCCAUCUAAAGUUCUAGUUUCAUUGUUUUUAGUUUCGUUUGAGUGUGGCAAAGAUUUUUUAAAAGUUCAUUUUUCUUUCUUUUUUUCUGAAGUCAGUUUCCAUGAUUAUAGGAUGAUUAUGGAGGUCCAUCUAAAUCAUCCCAAGUUUAUUCAAAAAAAAGGAAAUUUAAUUUUAUAAUUUCGUUUCAUGGUCGUUUGUUAAUAAGCGGGUUUUUAUUUUAUAUUUCCGCAUGCACAUGCAAAACAUAAGAGGGCUCUCUACGUAGUUAUGAACUUAUAAUCAAUGGUCAAAGUGAAGUUAACAUAUUCAUUUGUAACACAUUUCGAAGUGAAGUCUAGGCACGUGUAGGAAAUUUCUCUCUAAUAACCACACAAAUGAUUAUAUAUUGUCAUAUUGAUCAUACUAGCUAAAAACUUUCUCGCCGUCUUAUGUAAUAAUAUUUGAUUGUAAUUGGAAAUCUUUGUAUUCACAAAAAAAAUAUAAUUUAGCUUGUUGAAAAAUGCAUAUAUAGUUAAUUCUUUUUCAUUUGAAUUUUCUAUUUCAUUUAUCACUUAACAAAAGUUAUCAAAUUUUAUGUAACAUAUUGAUUACUGCUAAUUGCUAAAGCAUCAUAGAUUAUCAAUUCAAAAACCGACCAAAAAAUUAUAAAUUAAUUUAUAUCUCUUAUAUUUUUUUUUUUAUAAAUUCGAUUAGCUCUGAGGUGAGAUUCCUAACGAUCUCUUUAGAAUUCUACUAAUUUAUGAAAUAGUGAAUAACAAAAAACAUCCAAUCUUGUAGAUGUUUCUUUUAAAUAUAAUACAAAAAACGUAGUAAACUUCUUUCUUUUUUUUUGAUUAAAAAACUUUAGAACAACUAUUACAUAUAGUUAUUUCAAAGUAGAUAAAAACUAUUCUUUUUAGCUGGAAAGAGAAUAUUAAUCUUUAGCACAACAACAAAUGUUGCCAUGACCCCUAGGACUAGCUUGGCAUGAGCCAAUGGUCUCCGGUGGAAACUCAGGCGGUCCACAUUGACUCUUACAGUCUCUGUUGCUCUCACACGAACCUCUGUAGACACACUGUGAAGGAUGAUCAGCAUUCUCUCUUACACCUAUCAGUUCACCAACAUAUAAACAAUGAUUUCAGAAAAAAAUAGAAAGAGAAUUCGAAAUGUAUCACUCUUAAUCAUAGAUGAUAUUGUAAAUAAAAAACGUAUCACCUUUUGACUGGCAAGUAACAAGGUGAGAACAUAAGACGAAGAUGACUACAAAUUGAAGCUUUGAUAAUGCCAUUUUAUUGGUAUAACGUAAAUUUCAGUGUUCUGUUUUUUUUUUUGUCUUUGUUCUUGAUGUGAAGAAAGUAGAGAGCAAGAAUCCCUUAUAUAUUAAAGGAGAAACAUUGUAAUAAAUGUAUUCACACUAUAAUAGACACGUGGCAGCCUCACGAUAAUUUGAUAAUACAUAUGCUAAUGCGUUCACACUAUAUUCAUAAAUGUGUUCACACUAUAUACUUUAUAUUUUUAAUAUAAAACUCAUAUGCACGGUUCCAAUAAAACUUUGGAUUUUUCGUUUCGAAUCAAAACAAAUAACGAAUCAAAAUCUAAACUAUAUAUAUUAUUUUUAUUGUUUAUGGAUAAAGUCAGGCAAAACAUUUCUAAAUUUUGAUUCGAUUUGUUAUCCGUUUUGAUUUGAACAAAAAAAUAUGGAUAUCCGUAACUCUACGAAGCAAAUCAGUUACUAAAAUACAAUUAAAAAAAAUCACAAAUUCCAAUAUUUUUAGGAACGGAUAUCAAAUUUGAUAUGUUAUAUGCAUAUAUAUACAUAUAUGUACAGAUAUAUAUAUAUGUUAUAUAUAUUAUAGUUUAUAUAAGUUUACAAUAUUUUAUGAAUUAAAUUUAUUAUAAUAGGUAUUAAAGUUUAAAAAGUUAAAUAAUAUUUUAUUUUGUAAUAAAAUGUUAUUAUUAAAUUUUUCAAUUAUUUUAUAAAUUUUAUUUUAUUUACAGAUCAAAUAGGAUAUUCUUUAAAAUUCUAAAUCAUUUCGGUUAUCAGAGUCACCGACUAUCUAGGUGGCUAAAGAUUGAAUCGACUUGAAUGCCUCCAAAUACCCAGAUAUUCGAUAUGUGCACACCUCUAUUUACGGAUACAAUUGAUUUUUCUUUAUAUGGAAAAAAUUCACUAAUGUCAAGGCCUUUUUAAUUUUUAAUUAAUUUUAAUUUUAUCUUUCAUGUAUUAUUUAGAACAAAAAUGUCAUUUAAUAUAAAUUAACAAUAUCUUUAUAUAUUUGUCAUUUAUUCUUAUAUACUUUUACAUACACAUACAUAUGCACAUUGAUGUGAACACCUUAUAAGUAUUUACCACCACUGAAGUAUCUAUUUUUUUUUGGAAGUUGAAAUAUUUUUUUUCUUAAUGCUUCUUCCACUAUCGACCAAAUUGUAGUGAAAUGAUUUGUCUUAAUAGUUUUUUUUUUCUUGAACUAUUAUCCGCUUACAAACUAUGAUAUACAACUAUUAGUUCGACAUGACGAUUAUCUUAAAUUUAUAACAUGAAAAUAAACAAAUAAUAGUAAUUUUUAGUUUUUUCUAAAAAACUAAAAAAUCAAACAUUCUAACAAAACAAACCAAAAUAAAAUAUUAAUUUAAAAUAAUGGUUAUAUUUUAGGAGAUUAAAAACCAAAAAAUAACUUAAAACCGAACCGAUAUCCAGAUUAAACAAAUUUAAUGUGUUUUUAUUAAAAAUAACAAAACAAAUAAUCACAUUCCGCGCAAGGCGCGGGUUAUUACCUAGUAUGCGUAUUAAUACGAGGGAGACAGGGUAGCUGAUCAGGACAAUCUAUAUUGUUUAUUGUGUUGAGAUAUAUUGAGAUUUCUGUUUAAGUGGGUGAAAUCUUUGAAAAGGUGAUACAAAUCUUCCUUUUCAAAAGAAAAUAUUGUAUAUAUGGUCAAUUAGUAAGGAAAUUUUAUUUAAUUGAUUCGGUAUGAUAGUAACUUUUUCUUUAAAAGGAAAAUCCAUGAAAAAAUAUUUAAUUGUUCGGUACGAUCUGGUAACUUUUUCUUAAAAAUGAAAAUUAAUGGAAAAUUAUUUUAUGACAGUAGCUUUUUCUUAAAAAGGAAAAUUAAUGAUAAAAAUAAGAUAUGAUCUAAGAUUUAUUCAAUCUUACAAAAUCCAAAUUACAUAUGUUUGAGAGAUUUAAAUAUAAGAUUUGAAAUAUCGAACAUUGUUUUAAAAAAAACAAGUAACUAUACUUUGAUUCGCACACCCGCGCUGAUAUAUUUUUUCAAAAUAUAUUUGUAUUUAUUUUUCAUGUCAAUAAUAUUAGGGCAGGGUAAAAAUACCUAAAACCGAUUCCGAUCCAAAAAAGUAGUACCAAACCCGAACUGAAAUUGAUUAAAUAUCCGAAUUAUUCAAAAUUUUAGUUUUUGAAGAACCGAAACAGAAUCCGAUCCGAACCGAAAUAGUUUAGAUACCCGAAUGUAUACGAAAUAGAUUUAUAUACUUAUAUAUUAAUUAUUUUUAGAUUUAUUGUAUAUAAAAACAUCUAGAAUAUAUAUGAUACUUUUAAGUUGGUUUAAAUACUUGAAAAUAUAUACAAAUAGUCAAUAUCUAAAAUAGUAAUAGUAUACUUAAAACACCAAAAACAUUUAAAAUAAUUAUUGAUUCUCUAUCCAAAUAUUUGAACUAAAACAAUUUAUAUGUUAAGUUUAGGUAUUCUGAUAUAUGUUGUUCAACUUUAUAUUUAAUAUAUUAUUUUGUUUAUAGUUUUUGAGAAAUUUGAAGUAUAUAAUGAAUUUUAAAAAUUUUAAAGUAAUUUAAAUGGGUUAUCUGAACUCGAAUUGAACCCGCAAAAAUCCGAAGCGAACCCAAACUAAAAUUUUGAAAUAUUCGAAUGGGGCUGAAAUCUUUGACCCUGGAAACCCGAAACCCAAACGUAUCUGAACCGAACCCGAUUAGGUACCAGAUAGAUAGUUUCUCGUAAUAUAAUAGACUUCCAAUUUUUCUUAAAAAUAUAAGGUUAUUACUCUUUUUAAUAUAUUGUUAUCUAUAUUUUCAAACAAACUUACUGCAAUCAAUGUUCCCAAACAAACUUCUUUUUUAAAAUUGCAAUCCAUGUUUCUAAACAAACUUUUUUUUUAAAACUGCAAUCGAUGUUUCCAAACAAACUUUAAAAAAAAAUUGAUAUCCAUAAUCAAACAUAAUUUGUACUUGAGUUUUAAUAAGAUAGAUUAAGUAAUAAUUUGCGCUCUUCCAGAGUAAAAUAUUUUAUAAAAUACUCCAUGUGUUUCUAAAAGAUACAUAUUUAUGUGUUUUUUGCUAAUAAAUAUAUUAUUUUUUAUAUUUUCCAAUUUUCUAUAAUUCUAAGUUAGUAGUAUUUUGAAAAUUACAAUUAUUUUGUAAAUUUUACAAUUUACCAUUAUUAACUACUAAAAUUGCAUCAAAAACUUAAAAAUGGAUAUUUUGAAACAAAAUUUUAUUUUAAACACUAAUCUUCUAAGAAAAUACUUUUAAAUUUUUAAAUAAUAAGAAGAAAGAUAUGUAAAAUAUAUUUUAAUGAUUUGAUCAAAUUAAAACUGCAAAAAUAUAUAAUUAUAAUCAAUUCAAGUAUGAUACAUAUUUCUAAAAUUUCAAAAUUAACAUUUUAUGUAUUUUUUAUCUGGUAUAUAGUUUAAUCUAAAUGAUAUUAAAAUAGAUGAACUGGUUAACAAGAUCAAAUGAUCAAUGACUCAAUGUCGCACUUAAAAAGUAAACUUACUGGAAGUAAAUAGUGUUGUUUUCGUUUUAAAACCAACUUUAUACAUUUCAGUGACACACAAAGAUGUUUUUUUUAUUUUUCCUUAUCGUUCCAAACUUCCACUCUGAGUUGAAACAGAGUGGGUAAGGGAGAUAUGUUCAUCAGAGACCUGCUCUUGGGUCACCAGAAUUUGCUGCUACGACUCCAAAUUCUUGGCUGGAGGUUGCUUCUUCUUCUUCUUCUUCCGGGAACGCAACCGAGUCGCCAUUUAAGCCAUCAACAAUCUCAUCAAUCUUUUUGAACUGGUAUGGCCACUUGCUGUUGUACAGAAACUGCCUCAGAUCAAACCUGUUGUCUUCUGGAGAGUAACUCUGCAACAAAAAAUCACAAUGAGUUCUCUCUCAAGACAGAUUCCAAACAUGUUUCAGACAAACAGAAGUAGUACCUCAGCGUGGUAGGAUGGUGUAAGGACAGUCAUCUUGUGUCGAUUAAUCGAAUAAUAUUUGAAGAAGUAUUUCACUUUCUCAGCUACUUCUGCUGGGCUUAGCUUUGUUCCCCACUUGUAACAUAGAUUCUGCAGAAUCAACAGACACAAAGUCAGUUUCAGUGCAUCAUGAUUUAGUACCUUUGUCUGAAGAUCAUAACUCAAACCUUGAACAUGGAAACUGGACCACAACGGAAUAUUUUCCUCAUUCUUCCAUAGACUGAAAGCUCUUCAUAUGUCAUUCCCAUGUCGACUUCAUCAAGCUGUUUUCACAACUCAAGAUGUCUGAAUAGUGAUACUUAGUUGGCUUUAGCUAGAGACUCACAAACAGUUUUGUUAUUUACCUGAGUAUAGUCAGAACGAAUGGGCUCAAGCUCAGCUGUUGGCGGAGCAGCUUCUAUAUCUGCCAAAGAUUGAAAACCGAGAUUUGUUGCAGCCCAUCUUAAGAACAGCCUCAGAUCCUGUUUACUGAUACUUCCUAUUGGGUUUAUGUCUGCUGAGCUACAAUCAUACUGUUCCAACCAAAAGAAUGAAUUAAAUUAACAAUCUAUUGGGAACUGAGAUGUAGCGGUACUCAUCACCUUAGUCAGGUAACCACGGAGACCUUCAUCAACGUUGGAGCUGCCUAGAACAAGGUAAAAGCCUGGCUUGCUAUGAACCCAAGGCAAGAGAGACGCUAACAUAAACGCUAACACCAUUCUCAUCCGAGCUUGUAUGUUCUGCAAUCCAAGGUUCUCAGCGUUUGAUCCUCCAUCAACCUAUACACAAAACCAUUUUAAUCAUAUUUAGGUUGGUUCAGCUGUUUCUAAAUUCCUGCUUUACCUUAUAGCGAGGUCGCUUGCCUGUAACCGUUUGAAAUAAAGAUAGAACCGCAGAGACAACGCCAUCUAUACAAACAUCGAGAUGCCACGCACCGAUCUCAUCUGCCAGCUGCUUUGCACGCAUUUUUGUCUCCUUGGAACUGCACAUUUGAGAUUUAAACAUGGGGAAAAAGCUGAUGUUUGCAAAACUCCCAUUACUAUGACCAAAACUCACAUCCUCAUUCCUAAGUUUCACUGAUUUACCUGUUUUCGGACCCCAUAAAAACAGUGUAAAAUAUUCGCUUGGCAAACUCUUUGCUAUCAGUAGGAAACUCUCCAUCAGAAUAAUUCCCAAUUCUUCUCGCAUCAGUUUUCACUUGCUCAUCUCCAUUCCCAAUCUCUACACGAUCAUGAAGAUAUCAACAUCAUGGAAGUCUCUUUUUAAGUUAUUUACAGCUCAACAUACCUUUGACAACAAGUUGACACAUGCAGCCAACAAUAGCCGCCACAGACGAGCUGUCUGCUCCACCAGAAAGGGGAAGCAAAAACCCUGAAGCUCCACUUCUCCUCAGAUAGUCCCAUAGCCAGCACGCAGGACCAAAUGCUAUUUCUUCUUGUGGAGAGUGGUACAUGAUCUACACACGAACGAAUAUUUAAAACAUUCACUAAAGUUCAAAGAUUAUGGGAAGCAAGGGAGGAUUUAAAACCUUCUUCGGACUGCUUAGUGUCAUUUUCAGGUUGAAGGACUGUGUCAGCUUACAGGGCACAUAUACUGAAGAUACUUUGACCUUGCAGCUUGCCUGUUCCUGAAAACUGCUUAUAGAUCCCCGAAGACUAGCAACCUUUCUCAACCAAAGCAAGCAAAAAUUGUCUUAACAAAUUCGUCAUAUACAUAUAUAUAUAUAUAUAUAUCAUUAAAGAAAGUAACAACAGAGGAUAAGUGUAGGAUACCGCAUCUAGAUCCACUUGGGAAAUGAUGACCUCAACGUCCUUCAAUGAAAACUGUGAGCCUUGAGCUACAACAUGCCCGUUUACAACAAUGCAUGCACAUCCAUCUACACACAAGAAAAAGUAGAUAAGAAUCACUCAAAAUUGAUAAUCUCAAUCAUCCAAGGUUCUUUGAACAAACCGUAGUAUAAGCGGCCACCAUCGCAUCCCUGUUGAUUACUGUACAUAUAUACCCCACCACGAGCGUUAGUAGCUCCCAUGAAAGCGUUCAAGCGAAUAUCUAGCUUUCUUAAUUGGUGAUGACUCCCACUUGCAUUCAUAAACACCUCCACACCGUUCAACGCAAGCUCGGCAUGAGGAGGGACUGGACUAAACAGCUCCUCACAGACUUCGACCGCAACAGCUCUGAUAAGGAAAUAUAAUAGUUGAUAUUGUUUAGAAUCAUUAGAAAAAAAAUCAUUGACAGCAUUAUAUCAAAUAGACUUACGUGUCGAUAAACUGGAUGUAACCAUAACCAAAAGGGACUGAUGUCUGAGACAAGGCCUCUGAAACGUCAAUAGGGAGGUGAAACUCAUCGAGGUCUCCUCUCUGCUUCCAAGCAGUGAACCACCUCAGCUCCCUAUAGUUCCCAUCGUUUGCGAGCCACAGUUUUGGUCGGAUCAUGAUGAUUCUUCUGUUCAUACAGAGAACCUGACAGUUAUACCGCUCUGCUCCUUUGAUCACAGGCAUUCCUAUGCUACACAAGAUCCCAUCUGUCCAAUCACCAAGCAGCAACUCCUUCAAACACUCCCACCUGUAAAAGCAUGAUUCAAGAACUAGAUUCCAUCAAUCUAAUGAAGCGUACGUACGCGUGAGUGAGGGUGUCAAGCUCCAAGAAGUGAUCCUCGCAGCCAUAGCCAGUGACCUCGAGCUCGGGUCCAAGCCUGAUGACAGCACCGGCAGCCUUUGCCUGGGAAAUCGAAGCCUUGAUGUUCUUCAUGUUGCAUUCGAAUUCCAUUGCCCAUUGAUUCAAGUUACACGUGGCCACCUUCAACAGCCUCAUUCUACAGUCUACAUACAGUACAAUGUAUGAUGAGUCAGUCAUUUUUAAAAUAGUUUGAGAGACGCUGUAACUUACAAGGUGCUACUUCCUUUAAAUUCAAAACCAAUAUGAAAAAAAAAAUCAACUUAAAAAAAGAUUGUAGUAUAUAACUCACAAAUGCAUGUUAUAUCAAAGUUCAAUCAAUGUCAAAUUCAUGAACUAAGUGUGAUUCUAACCAAUUUCAAAACAAACCUAUAUGGGAACCAAUUUCAUAUAUUUGCUACGAAAUCUCCAAAAAUAAAGUACAAAAUUUCAAAAACAGAAUCGCCUAAUUAAUUUAUGAAGGCUGAGAACUAAAACAGCAGAGAGGUAGAUUGAGUUCUAAAGGAAUCUGAGGAACUUCAUACCUUUUUCUGGAAAUCGAAUAGGCCAAUGGUUCUUCUGGCUCGAGAGUAAGAUUCUUUUACUGAUCCAUGAUCGUUGGUUUCCACACACACUCACCACCAAAAUGAAAGAGGAAAGGACGAGGGAGAAGAAGAAUCUUUAGUUGGGCUUGGUCCUGAUAUUGGGCUUUUAUGAUUUGAGCCCACACUUAUUGCCAACAAUAUGACGUCGUUUCAUUCAAUCCAGGGAGUUUAUUAUAUAGUACGUUGUCGUUUUGAAAUCCUUCCUCUCUCAUUUUUUUUUCCCGACGAAGGCGAUUACUGAUCUGAGGGGAAUGGAUCAGUUAUCGGGAGGCAAUUGGUCGAUAAUCCCCUACGUUCAGGUGCAGGGUAACUUCGGUACGCCCUAAUGGUUUGCUUAUUAGCGAGUAUAACAAAUGUAUGAACUUUUCAUUUUGCGUUUGUUGUGUGAUAAUAUUAAAAAAAAAAAGCAUCAAACUUAGUUUGUAAUUUGAGUGACAUUCAAAAACCAAAAACUUUCCAAACCGGUUCUUAAACCAUUUGCAUCAGUACUGAAGGUUUAACGUAAACACGUUAAGCAUCAGUGUGUUUAAUUAUCACAUUGGAUGGUGACGAUUGCAUGAGAGAUUAAAUAUUGCAAGAACAGAAAAAUAAAAUAUUGCAUUAGAUUAAAAUGAAAAAUACUCAGAUGAGACAUAUGUUCCAAAGAGUUGGUGUAUAAUUCUAAGAGACAGAAAUGGGUCAAAAAUCAAAUAAGAAGCUUGCGAAACAAGUAACCUUUUUAUUCUUUACCAGCUAACAACGGUGGUUUUCUUUUCUUUCUUCAAAUCAGGUCAUCGACUUUUGAUGGAAGCUCCUCAACAGCAACAUUGUAGAAUUUCUGAAUAUCACUAAGCAUUCUCUCAUCAUCACGAGUCACAAAGUUAAUCGCCGUACCUUUCCUCCCAAACCUCCCACUUCUACCUAUACGGUGAAGGUAGUUCUCAGGCUGUGUUGGGAGGUCAAAGUUGAUGACAAGAGACACUUGCUGCACAUCGAUACCACGAGCCAAGAGAUCGGUUGUGAUAAGAACACGAGAAGAACCAGACCUGAACUCUCUCAUGAUAAUGUCUCUCGUGUUUUGGUCCAUGUCUCCGUGAGUGGCCGAGACCGUGUGGUCACGGCUCCUCAUUUGGUCUGUGAGCCAGUCCACCUUGCGACGUGUGUUGACGAAGAUGACACCCUGAGUGAUGUUUAAAGUAUCGUAGAGGUCACAGAGAGUUUCGAGCUUAUACUCUUCUUUCUCCACGUUCACGUAAAACUGCCUGAUACCUUCGAGCGUUAGCUCGUCACGUUUCACCAGGAUUCUCACUGGUUUGCUCAUGAACUUCUUUGUGAUCUCGAGAGCUUCUGGUGGCAUUGUAGCUGAGAACACUCCCACCUGAAUCUUUGGUGGGAGAAGCUGGAAUAUGUCAUAGAUCUGCAAAUUCACCACACAGAAAAAAAAACGUUAUAACCAAUUUGCUAGGUGGGUUCUUUAGGCGGACGCUUAGACCGAUUUUUCAGAUUUUUUUAAAAAUCGAUGAGGUUUAUUGUUUAGGCGCCUAGACAGAUUUUUUUAAAAAUCGGUUUGAAAAAAUCUUUUUGUUUAGAUCGAUUUGCCGUCUAGUUAGCCCCUAGACAAGACUUAUGGAACACUGAUUAUAACCAAGUCAAUAUCAGAGUUCAAAAAUAAAGAGGAAAGAUUCAAACCUGAUCCUUGAAACCACGGGAGAGCAUUUCAUCAGCUUCAUCAAGAACAAACAUCUUUAUACAGUCAGAGCGAAGAGAUUGUCUUCGGAGCAUGUCAAAGACACGACCAGGUGUUCCAACGACAACAUGGACACCAGCUUGGAGGAUACGCUGAUCCUCAACAACACUGGUUCCACCAACACAGGUAUGUACCUUGACGCCAAGGUAAUCUCCUAGAGCACGCAUGACCUUCUCAAUCUGCUGAGCAAGCUCUCUGGUGGGAGCCAGGACUAGAGCCUGGCACUGGACAAGGGUGAUGUCAAGCUGCUGCAAGACACCAGAGCAGAACGUAGCGGUUUUGCCAGUACCGGACUGUGCCUGCUGGAUCACAUCAAGACCGUUGCAAAACGGUACGAUUCCUCUUUGCUGAAUAGCAGAAGGCUUUUCAAAACCUAGAAAAAUCAACACAUUAGAUGAAGCUAGCACGAAACACAAAAAAAUGUUACUAUGAUGAUUCAUCUUGACAUACCAUAAGCAUAGAUACCCCUAAGAAGGUUCUCUUGCAAACCCAUGGCAUCAAAGCUCUCAUGAACCUCAUCAUAGGAGGUGAAGAACUCAUUUUGUCCCUCCAGGCUGCACCAAAUUAAAUUAACAUUAGCCAAUUGCAUCAAAAGCACAACAAGUAUUAAAAGGUAAAUAUUUUAAGACUUACACUUCAUUGAGCUUUUGAUCAAACUGACGCGUAUUAAACUGUGUACCUUCUGGUGCUGAUCCUGCCAUGACUAUAACAAACAGACCCACACACAAAAACACUACAACUUUAGAUUAUAAAAGACAACCAAAACAGCUUAAAGAUAACGUACAAACAAGUAUCUAAACUUGAGAUUCCAUAAAGAGAGGAAAACAAGCAUUAAUAUCUGAAUUAAUAUAUAGUUUAGCAAAAAAGAAAUAUGAAUUAAGAUAUUAAUGUCAAGAGAGAAGCAAAGCUAAUGGUUCAUCCAAUAUCAUAGAUACCAUGCAAAAUAAACAUAUAUCUCUCUCCAUAAAAGCAUAUAAUAAUAACACAAGCUAGGACCAAGUACAGAUAUAAACCCGCCACUAAUUGAUUCAUGUAACGAUGACCCAUGACGAAGUAUAGAUGUACAGGAACCAAUCACAGAGAGAGAAAACAAAUUGAAAAAAAAAAACAGAUGUUUCCGAACCUUGAGGUUGAGUAAGAGCAAAAGUGAAAGAUUUUCUUAAGAGUGAUUGAAAUAUUCUCUUUGUUCGGAUUUGAAACCGAAUGAGAAGAGAAAGAGCGACUUUGAGAGAAUUAGAGAGCAAUACAAUUUUCAGGUAGAUAGAGAGAACGAAAGGAUGUUAGACAACACAUUAUAUAGUCCCCUCCUCCUUUUCUUUCGAGGCGGUGGUCUUCAAGGUUUCCUCUUUGGCAUUGUUCUCCUUUCCUAUUUAGGAAUUUUCCUUCUUUUCUUUUCCCACUUUUCUUAUAUUUUGUGGGAGAAAAAUAAUUAAUAUAUCUUUAUUCAAUGUAAAUAUGAUAUGACUAUUUGAUAAUAUAUCUUAUAUUUUAUGAGAAAACAAGUAAUAUAUUUGUAUAAAUUGAACUACACCAUAUAUAACAUUAUGACAAAGUAUUAUAUUAUUAAUUGCAAAAUUAAUUAAUUUUUAUUUUAGAAAAAUAUUUAAAUUUUUGUAAUUUUUUUUUAGAUUUUUCCUUAACAGAUUUUAUUAUAAUUAAAAAAAUCAAAUUUAUAUUUAUUUUAUUAUUACAGUAAAUAAUCAAAUAUGUCAUAUUAAAUAAUUAUUUAAAUAUUAAUAGAUUUGAUAUAAUAAGUAUUUUAUCAUUCCCGUUCAUUCUUAUUUUCUAUUGUAUUCUUAUAAUUAAACACAUCUUAUAUAUUAAAAGAGAAGUCACAAUCUUGAUUCAUGUGUGAUUUUUUUUAAAAAUGGACUUAAUGGACCUAUUCCUAGAAAGUCAUGUUAUAUUUAAUAUCUAAUUUUAUCAUUUAAAUUUUGGGCCUACAAGAAAUUUUUAUUGGGCUAUCAAUAAUUAAAUUUAAACAAUAGAUGAUCUAUUGGAUUUAUAUAUAGUAUAAAUAAAAUAAAUAUAAAUAUUAUCAAAAAUUGUAUAUAAAUAUUUUCUCUAAUUUUGUAAUUAGUAAUAAAAUUAAUGUUAUUAUACAUUAAUAUAUAUAUUUUAUUAUAUAUUAAAUUUAUUAUACAAAUAAUCAGUUAUCUUUUAUAAAAUGAAAAACAUUAUAUCAAAUUUUACUAUUUUAUAGUUAUAUCUAUCAUUUUAAAAUAAAAAAUUGUAUUUAACUAAAUAUGAUAAAAUUAUUUUAAAUUGAUAAAUUAAUAUAUUUUAUUUUGACAAACAUUAAAAAUUUAUGCUAGAAAUAUAAUAUGUUGGUAGAACGGGUUAACAUUAGUAAAUUAGAUAAUUCAUGUAUAAAAUUAACUUAUCUUAAACUUUUAUAUAUAUAUAGUUAUUAUCUUAAAUGAAUAAACAUAAAAAAAUACUGAUAAAGGAAAUCUAGCGCUUUGAAUUACGGAUCAGGAUCAUAAUAAUUGAAUAAAAAAUAAUUUUAAAAUAUAUAUAAUAAAAAAUACCAAAUAUAUGUGAUGAUUUGAAAUAAUCAAUUAACUUACAGCAUGAAAACUAUCAAAUUGUUAUAUUUAAGAUAGUUAUAUAUAAACAUUUAAAUAUAUAAGUAACUUUAAAAAUAUAUUCUAAUUAUGUAAUAUAUAUAUAUAUAUAAACAUGAAAAUUAAUACCCGCACAGUUGUGCGGGUCCAAAUCUAGUUUUUAUUACAAUUGCUAUUGUUAACUAAUUAACUUUGAUGGACGGUUGAUAUUAAAGACACUUGUCAAGUAGAAAAAAAACUUUUAUAAGGAAGUAAUGUAAAACUUGAUGAGAAAGCAAUCAAAACUUGAUGACAAAGUCAUUAAAACUUGAUGAGAAAGUUUGGUCUCUCACCCCACAUAUAGUGAAAAACAAGAAAGAUAUCUUUAUGAAUUGAACUACACCACAAAGUCAAUGUUUUCAGAUUUUGUAUUAAGUAAAUUGAUUUUGGUUAAAUUAUUGACACAUGGAUCUAUUUUUUUUCAUAUUGGAGACAUUUAUGAAGUAAUAUUUUCUUCUAUAAUUUUGAUGAAAAAUAAAUUAAACAAAUGUUCAUUUUUCAUUAUUCAAUUUUAAAAAUAUUUUCUUAUCAGUUUGUUGAUUUUUUUAACAAAGUCACAAUGUUAUUUUCAAAUAGAAAUAUAUUAGUUAUAAUAUUCUUUGUUUAUUUAAAUUAAAUUAUUUCUUUUAUGAAAAAAUAAUGUAUUAAAAAUUCUCAGUAUUAACAACUUGAAUCAAAUGUAAUCAAAUAAAAACACAAUCAUGUAUUAACAAUUCUCAGUAUGACUUGCAAAAAACAUCUAUUAACAUCCAGAAACGUACUUAACAUCAAAAACUAACCAGAAAGUGACAACGUCAAUAGUAAAUGAAAUCUCAUAUACAUGUACUCUUUAUUUUUGUUCUCAAAGCCAAAAACUAUUAAAAAACCAGUCCUUUACAUCUUACAUUGAACCGGACCACAAGGUAUAAAGCUCUACAUAGCAGUUCAACAUUUUCGCCUUUUAGCACGUGCAAGGAACGAAUCAAAAAGAGAGCUGACUGAUGAACAAUUUAGGAUAGUUAAUGUGGUCGAGUAGGUGGACAUUACAUCGCUCAGAGACUUCUUUGGCAUUUUUUCUAAUCAGAAUACCUAAAGAGAGAGGGAAGAAUCUGUUAAAAAACGUAGAGAAACAAUACAUAAAGUAAAGAGAUUGUGUGUUAAAGAGUCAAAGACGUCACAACCCCAGGGGCAGUAGUAUCAUCAUCUGAAGAAGAAGGACUUGCAGGAUCAUCCAUGGUCACUGAGAAAAAAAAGUAGAAGAUUUUAUGAAGAAUACUACGCCAUGUUCACAAGAACAGAAAAUGCUUGAUCUUUCGCAUGAAUCUAAGAAAGAAAACGAUAUACCUUGUUGAAGUGAUGGAUUCUUGAAGAAUCGCACUCACUCGGAGAAGAAGAAGAAGAAGAUUGUUUCCCGCCUCUUCUAAUUUCCAACUGAGCAGGAUAUAUAACCAUUUCGAGUGGGCCAUUAAAAGCUCUUAAUGGGCCUAUAUCCAGCCCGAUAAGAAAAAUGGUCAAAUCGAAGUCAACUUUAAUCUGGACCGUACGAUGAUAAAAGCCGCUCUAUCUAUCUGUCUCUCACCCAGUCAGUGGCUCGGAUCACAAAUUCUACCUCAUUGGUAAAUCAGAAAUCUUUACCUGAGAGAGAGAAAAUAAAAACCCUAACAGUCUUCGAAAAGUUUUCAUCUUCAGCGCACAGAGAGAGAGAGAGAGAAGAGCGAAACGAAAAUCGGAUCGGGCUUAAGCAGUUCCGAUUAUGGCUUACGCGUCACGUAUCCUCAAUCACUCCAAGAAGGUAACUUCAUUUUCCCGAUCGUAUGCAACAAUUGUUCAGCGUUAUUGAUGAGAGGAUCUGAAUUGGGUGUGACGUAUUGUGUUCGAGAUUCAAUUGAAUUGUGGUUUCAUCAUCAGCUAAAUUGAAGAGCUUUUAUGAUCAACAUGAAAUCAUUUCUGCUUUUUUGAGUCAACCUGUCUUUGGGUUUGACGUAUUGUGUUUUCUGCUUUCGCAAUUGAAUUGAAUUGAAUUGUACGGGGAAUGAAUGAUGCUUUUUGGUCAGCUAAACUGAAAAGCUUUGUGAUUUUUUUAUGAGUCAUCUUGCUUCUGGGAGAUGAUUGAGAUCUGUAUUUGUAUUUUGUGACAGUUGAAAGAUGUUUCCACUUUAUUGCGGCGAGAGCAGGCUGCAUCGAUCCGCUAUUUCUCCAGCACUAAUAGGGCUCCUCUGAGCAGAGAAGGUAAUGUUAUCCAUUUUUUGGCCAGUUGUAUUUUACUUUUGUUUGGUGUCGGUAAGACUCUCUGCUUGUCGCUUCAGCAUGUUCUUUUUUUUAUUGGUCUUCAGAUGCUUUCAGUGCCCAUCUUGGCUUUUCACCUGUGGAGAGGAUGACCAAGUGUAGCACUGACAUUGUAAGUCCUUACUUUUCUUUAUAGCCGUGUGUCCCCUCUCAUUCAGCCGUGUUAACUAAGCAUAAACCUUUGGAGAUUAAUGUAAUCUUCAUGUCGUUUAAUUCUGGUUAUAGGUGUCUAUUAGUUUUGCAACUUCGAGAACAACACUAAGCAGUACCAUGGGAAGGCCAAGACUUGGAAAUCAUUUUUCAUGGUUCAGUCUCUUACUCUUACUCUCAUGUUGCAGAUGUGCAUUAGCCUUUGCUGUCUGCUUGUAUUGAUACCUUUUUGUGCUAACUACAUGCUUUCUUAUGCGUACCAGUUCGAUGCAAUCAGUUAGAGGAUUCUCAUCCGGUUCAGGUAGUCAUCUUUACUUUUGUUUUAUGCGCUUUUUCCACACUUCACUCUUGUAGUUUCCACCUUGCCCUAAGAUACAUCUUCACCUACUCAAAUUUAGCUAUGGUUGAUAUAUAUUGCAUUGCCAUUCAUCUGGUUUUACAUAUGCGAUUUUAAAUAUCAUGAUUUUUCUCCUAUGCUAAUUAUGUAACCUGAUAACGAUUUAAGGGCUUAAUCCUCCUCAGAGAGUUACGUAGUGCUUUAAAAAUUGCCGGACUUGAGAUGCUUAAUGGUAUAUACUCUAGAUUGGUUCAUUUUACCUAGAAUUUUCUGAAAAUGUGUUUCAGAUCUGCCUCCUCACCAAGAGAUUGGGAUGCCUUCUCUCUCGCCAACAAUGACUGAGGCAUGGACCUCCAUUCUACCUCUUGAUCGAAACUUAUGUCCGUUUGUCUUUAUGUUCUAAUAAGCUACCUUUCCAAUUCUCAGGGUAACAUUGCCAAGUGGUUGAAAAAGGAAGGUGAUAAAGUUGCUCCUGGUGAAGUACUCUGUGAAGUUGAAACUGUAAUGUCAAUCUAGACUGUUCUCAUCUUGUAUUCUUGUAUCUUAUAUUUAUUUGGGAAACAACUCUGACUAAGUCAUGUUCUGUAGGACAAAGCCACCGUUGAAAUGGAAUGCAUGGAAGAGGGCUUUCUCGCCAAAAUUGUUAAGGCGGAGGGGUCAAAAGAAAUCCAAGUCGGAGAGGUGUGAAACUUUUCUGGUUUCUCUAGAGUUAUGUAAUUAUCGUCGUUUCCCUUGGGACUCGGAUACAUAUUUUAGGAUCCAGACUCCAUUUGUGGAAAUGUGAACUGUAACUGUGUCAAUCUUGUGCCUUCAAGUAGGUAAUUGCUAUUACAGUCGAAGAUGAAGAGGACAUUGGAAAGUUCAAAGAUUACACCCCAUCGUCUACUGCUGAUGCCUCUCCUCCUAAAGCAGAUGCAGCUCCUCCUAAAACAGAUGCAGCUCCUCCCCCGCCAAAGGAAGAGAAGGCAUCGCCUCCGGAACCGAAGACGUCCAAGCCUAGCCCACCUCCCACCGGAGAUCGUGUUUUUGCUAGCCCUCUUGCAAGAAAGUUGGCUGAAGACAACAAUGUUAGUAUUCACAAUGUUCUUGGAUAUUUAUUUUGUUUUAGCUUUCAUGCUAGUUUAUUUUCUCAUUUCCUUUAAAAAUACAUCAGGUGUCUCUUUCAAGCAUCAAAGGCACAGGUCCUGAAGGACGGAUAGUGAAGGCAGAUAUCGAGGAUUACUUGGGUAUUAGUAACUCCUUGGAUCUUCCUUUCCCUUGCUUUUUCUUUCACACCUUUCUUGCCUCUGUUUACAUUAUUUCACCCUUCCUUUUGUCCUAAUCUAUCCUCUAAUGGUUGCAGCUUCAGGUGGUAAAGAAGCUACUGCGAAGCAAUCUAAGGUCACUGAUUCUAAGGUUCCAGCUUUGGACUAUGUUGACAUCCCUCAUUCCCAGAUACGAAAGGUAAAGCUUUUUGUUUUAAUCCUUGCACGGUUUGUAACCAAAUUUCAAGAGGAUCAAGGAUUCUGAAACCUCUUUUGACUGUAUAAAAUUGACAGGUCACAGCCUCACGUUUGGCAUUCUCCAAGCAAACUAUUCCUCACUAUUACUUAACCGUCGAUGCAUGUGUGGACAAACUUAUGGGGUAAAGAUUAAGUUUCCGAUGAUGUAUUUGAGUCGUUGUCAAUGAGUAAGCUUGACAAAGCGUUUUUUUGUAUAUGCAGUUUGAGGAGUCAGCUCAAUUCAUUCCAAGAGGCUUCUGGUGGGAAACGGAUAUCUGUCAACGAUCUUGUUGUUAAGGUACAUCUUACUUGCGUAUACUAGCAAUUAAGCUAACAGAUCUUCUGAAAUAACUAACAAUCUGCAUUUGUUUCAGGCUGCUGCGUUAGCUCUCAGAAAAGUUCCUCAAUGCAAUAGUUCAUGGACUGAUGAUUACAUCCGCCAGUAAGUACAUCGAUUGCAAACUUUUGAAUAUCUCUGGCUUGGCAAACAUCUUAACCAUUCUAUAUGUAGGUUUAAAAACGUAAACAUCAACGUCGCAGUGCAGACAGAAAAUGGGCUCUAUGUUCCUGUGGUUAAUGUGUGUCUGCAAAACAGCAUUCAAUAAUUAAUUUGUCUGCACAAAUUUCGGAUUGCUGAACUAUAUCAAUUGCUUUAUUACAGGACGCAGACAAGAAAGGUCUGUCCACAAUUGGAGAAGAAGUUCGGUUGUUGGCUCAAAAAGCAAAAGAGAACAGCUUAAAGCCGGAAGAUUAUGAGGUGAGAGAGUUCACUCACUCACUUUUGAUCAUAUCCGUUUUUCUGAAAAAAUCAGCUGAUAAUAAAGUCUUCAUUCUCAGGGAGGAACAUUUACAGUGUCUAACUUGGGAGGACCUUUUGGAAUCAAGCAGUUUUGUGCAGUGGUAAAUCCCCCUCAAGCCGCCAUUCUAGCUGUUGGAUCUGGUAAGCUCUCUCUCUCAUUACUAUCUUCACAAAUAUCCAAGAACUGAUUCGUGUUAUGUGUCUAAAUCUUAAUAAAAACAGCUGAGAAGAGAGUUGUUCCUGGUAACGGUCCAGAUGAAUAUAACUUUGCUUCUUACAUGCCUGUAACACUGAGCUGUGACCAUCGCGUAGUAGAUGGUAAGUCAGGUUUUCUACCAUCAUACAUUCAUCAUAAAACUGUUAAACUGAGUCGAAUAUUCUGCUAUCUGCAGGUGCCAUUGGAGCUGAAUGGUUGAAAGCAUUCAAAGGCUACAUCGAGAACCCUGAAUCGAUGUUGCUUUAAGAGAGAGAGAAAAAUCACACAAUGACCAGAACACGUCAAAGCUCAUAGUCAUAGGAGUCUAUGAUCUCUCAUUUCUCUGGUUUAAACACACUGUACCAAUUUAUUUUCUUUGGGUUUUUUUUGUACCAAUAAAUAUGGAGGGUUCUAAUUGAUCAUGGAGGAUGGGUAAACAACCCCAUUGUUUAUUUUGUUAAAUCGAAAUAAUAUUUUGAGUUUUAUGAAUCAAUAAAAGUUAAAACCUUCAAGAGACCGUUGAUUCUUCUUUUGUUACUCUCUGAACAUACAGCUGCCGACCAUGUCUGGCAACAACUCUGUCAUCUCCCUCCUCAGCAUGCCGGGGUAUAACCAAGCUCAAGCCAGCCAACUAUCUUACUUGCAAACUUCAAGUUUAUAGGCCUUGUUUGAAGCUCAUGAAUUGCAUCACAUUAUCAGCGAAAUAGAUCAACCUCAAUGAAGAUGCUUUACAGCUCCUUAAUUAAUCAGCUGUCCAAGAAACCUAUAUUCACAUUAGAAUCUUAAGCCAGACCAGACUCUAACUAAGAAGGUCAUGUCUGGUUAUUAUCUUCUGUGUUCAAAGUCUCUUAUCUUCUUUCUUCCUGAACCUUGAGAAACAGAGAAAAGAAAGUGGCUUUGACGGUCAGGAUUCGUAUUGCCUCUACUAAUGCUGUAUGAAUCAUCAUCAUUUCAUAAGAAUGCACCUAGGAACACAUCAUAUCCAAAGAUUGCAAAAAGUAUAAGUCUUUAUGAUCCACUAAGCCAAAUCAGUUUCAUCUUGAAAGAAAGAAAGAAAUCAAUUCUACACAUUAUGAGUUAAACACUUUGCAUUUUCUUUCCACCUAAAACACUCUCUAUAAUAAUAUUUACUCUAAUCAACAUUUUUGUUACAUGACUUAGAAAAACAAAAGAAGUUAUGUUGUUAAUGCGGAAAGUGUUAGUUAGUUAAGCAACUAUCAUUGAGUUUCUUUCUGUCUGAGAAGUUGCCUUCUCUUGAGAACCAUGAAGACAACAACCAACACCUGCAACAUUGCUAUUAACCCAACAAAGACCAGUCCCACAGUCUCCCCUUUGUUUAAUCCACCUCUCUUAUUCUUCUCCGGAGACCCCCCAACCCGCCGUGGCUCAGGAGGCGGUGGAAAAGGUUCUGACUUUGGCCUCCGCCGCCGUGGUGGCGAAGACAGAGGCGCAAUUACCUCCGAGACUGAAGAAGGUGCAGGACUGUCUGUCACAUUGUCAAGUGGAGGCGAUGGUGGUGGUGGAGGAGGUAGAGAAGAUUUUGUAAAGAGAGGCGGUUCUUGAGAUUUGACGAGGAGGAAACAAUGGAUGGUGAAAGAUAAGGCGAAAAUCAAAAUGUGAAGAGGAUUCAGAAAACACAUCUUCACGAUAUUAAAUCCAAAUGUGGCAUCAAAGGAACAACCUUUCUCUGUUUCCGAUUUGACAUAGAGAGAGAGAAGAGGGUUAAUAUUAUUUCCCGGGAAAAGACAGAGAGAAGAAUAACAGACUUGUUUCUUAGAGCUAAAUAUGGUUAGUAAGUACUAUUAACGAUUAAUAGAUAUAUAGUAAGUAAUAUGUAAUCUCCUUUUUAAGUUGAAAAUGAACCGAGCCCCUGAUUAAUGAUGAUGAUAACGAUUUAUAAUAGAGAGUAUCCAAACCUUUUUUUUUUGUUUGGUAAUCAGAAUAACAAAACUUGUAACAUCUUCUCUUUUAAUAAAAUAAUUAAAGCUAAACCCAUAUGUUGGCAAGUGGCAACACACAUAUUUAGUGAAACAAAAAAGUAUUUUAUUUUCUGAAAAUCAAAAGAGGAAUAACAGUCAAAGUACGAAAAAAAAAAUCAAUGAUAUACAUUGGACUGUUUGUUGUAUGUGGACGAGGUAGCCAUAGCCAUAGCCAUAGCCAUAGGUUGCGGGUUUUUUUUUUUUUUGGUAAAACGAUUAUACAAUAUUAUAAAACUAAUUUUGUAUUUUGAAUAUUUAUAAUAGUGUAUAAUCGUUUUAUUUUUUCGUAAUUUUAAAUAUCUAUAAAAUUAUUUCCCAUUUAUAAAGGCCAAGAUAUGUCAAAUUUACAUGACCAAGAAGUUAGAUUGGAAGUUGAAUGUGUCUUAAUUUGCCAAUUCUUUCUUUUGCAAAAGAUCUCACCUUGAAUCCUUUCCAGAUUAGAAUUAUUAUUCCUUUAUAUAUUUUCUAAGGUCAACAAUUUCUUUUUUUGCUUAAUGUUUUCUUUACAACUUUUUGGUUAAUGUUAAGAUUUCAGGUCAACUACUUACAUAUAUGUGUGUAUAUAUAUAUAUAGGCAUGUGCUGCUUUCAUUUAACAUUUAACAUCUAACAUCUAAAACUUGUAACAACAAAACCUAUACCAUUCAAAGAAUAGGAGUAUAGCUAUGUCAAAGUUUCAACUUGCUGCCCUUUUCAUCUCAUGUUUUCUCCUGUAUGCUUCUCAAUCAAAGGGUAAACCUUUUUAUUCUUCUUAUUUUCAGUCCAACACCAUUUAUCUCUUGAAUAUUUGCCACACACGUUUCCAGCACAAGUUUUUUUCUUGAUAUAAAGAACAUCAAGAAAAAUAAGCAAACAUUGUCUUCGGGUCCGAGUCUCACGAUAUUUAAAAUAAAAUGGCAAACAUUGUCUAAAAACAAUUAUGUUAUUUCGUGAAAACGUAUCAAAAUAAUAAUAUUGGUUGUUGGUUUUGCAAAUGAUAGCAUUGAACUUGAACACAAAACAAAUCGGAUAUGAAGACGAGUGUGUCUACAGAGGCUCGUGCAGGUUCAGCUACGAAUGUAAGAGUCGAUGUGGACCGCCCGAGUUCCCACAUGGAACUCUUGGUUUAUGCAUGCUCAGUCCCGAUGGUUCUGAAUAUCUUUGUUGUUGUACUCCCAAUAGUAAACAUUAGUUAUAACUUUGGUUGGGUUAUUAUUAUGGAAAAUUUAAAGGAACAUUGAAUUGAAAAACAUACUCUAUAUAAAUAAUACCUAGCAAUUUCUGAAUAUAUUGUUUCUCAAGCAUAUAAAUACUGUAAAAUAAUUUCGAAAUUUUUUAAAAGUGUUUAUUUUGAACUGUCUUUUUUUCUGUUACAUUAUCUUUGAUAACAUAUUAUGCAAUUUGUGUUGAUAGUAGAAAUCCAUAAUCCAUUGAACUAAGGCAAAUCAUACCAGUUAACUUCAAUCACACCAGAAUCCACCUCACUAUAUUGAAUGGAUCUAGUGGACAAUUAAUUCACCACUUACAUUUUAAUCUCACUAUAUUGAAGGAGAAAACUAGGGAGAAAUUAUUAACAUUCCAGAAAAAAUCUCAUAGUCAAACAACUUUAAAUAUCAUAAUUGAUGCUGGUACGAGAUAAUUAACUCACCUCAACAUUCAAAAGUUUUAAAGAUCAUAACGGAUGAAACACAGGAAUCCAUAACAUAAAUACAUAAUAAUGUCAUUCAUAAAGUGAGAAGAAGGUGAUAACUUCAGCUCAUUUACGAUUAGACACAUUCUCACCGUAUAUAAAUAAAUACUAUAAAGAGAUACACUUUUAUUCGAUCUUGUUUUGUUCAUUAAUUCAUUAAGUAAUGAGAACCAACUUUAUCAUUCUUGAACGCUAUAGAUUUUGUCUGGUCUAGCAUUCUAAUUCUAAAUUCCAUAGGCUAAUUAUGACGGUAUUAUUUCUUUAAACUACUUCUGAAUACCAUUUAAAUAUAAACGGAUCUCAGAUUCUUUUUUCAUUCUAAGAAACAACCAUUUUCAUCAUCGUUUCCUAAUUAUACUCUUAACUAUAUCAAUGUCAAGUUCAUUGCAUUAUACUCCCUCUGUUUCCUGAUUCUGAAUCUCAAACACAAACCCAAGUGCCCAACAAAAAUACAAAGACGAGAAUUGAAGAUUAGUUUUUAGAACUUUGAUGUGGUCUUUAUUUACAUGUAUGUAGAAUGAAAAAUAUCAAGUCCAUUGCUAGAUUAUGUACAGAAACUUCCAUCUGAGAGUCAUCAGAGCAUCCAGCAAGACCCUGAAACGAAAAAACUCAAACCUUCAAGCUCAUAUAUCACUUCACUCAUCAUCAAUUAUGAUAGAUGUGUAUUAGAUCUUGGUGGAUAAACUUCUACAAUUGAAGAGCCAGAAUGCUAAGUUAAAGCCGAGAGUUAACAACAUGAAAAAUGUGCUUACACGGCAUGAUAACACUUUAGACUGUAGUAAGUAGUAUACGGCCUUAGCCCCACGCCAUUGAAAAAGCAUAGUUAACCACCAGUUUACCAUCAAAGCCAAAGUUCUGCAUAUACCAAAACCACAACUACAUAACAUAAGCAAAUAGGCAUAUCAUUUCAAAGGGUGCGAAGUGAAAACACUUACAUUGUACAAAUCGUUUACAGAUUCAUCAGGGUUUGGAGAGAAAGCACUGUUCACAUAGACAAACUUAAACAAGCAAAGAAAACAGGUUACAGUAAAACUCAAAAGAUCCAUACAUACACACAUAGAAGAAGUAGAAGCUGUGUUUUAUUACCAAUGAGUCAGAAUGAAGCUGUCUUCUUAAAAAGUCAAUCACUUUAGCAAAUUUAUCAGUUCCUGGGAUCUGUUUACACGACAACGAAACUUAUCAAUCAAUAAAGAUCAUCUCUUUUCUAGAAAAAUCGAUCAAACCCCAAACCUAAAAUCCCUAAAAAUACCUUGAAUUUAGAUUGUUUGAGAAUAGGAGCGCCUCCAGUAGCUCUCAGAUGAACAACAACUGUCAUAUACACAGAAACCCUAUAAAUCAAUCAAAAUUGAAAUCAUACGAGAAAAUCAAAACUGGAAAUAGAUGAAAUUGAAUCGGUUCAAAGAUUGAUUCGGUUGUUUGAAUUUGAUUGGAUGAAUCAAAAACUCGCCUUUACGAACAGAGCUCGGUGACUCUGUCUCCGCCAUUGAUGAAUGAUUCCAAGGAGAGAGAGAGAGAGAGCUGAAGAAGGAAGACGUUACUCUUUCGUUCACGUCUGCGAUUGACGAUUAUAUUUUGGGCUUUAAAAGCCCAAUUAAACAUUGGGCUUUUAAACGAAUUAAAUAAAUUUAAACUGUAACAAACAUUGAACCGAAGUUCGGUUACUGGACCUGACCCGAUUUUAAACCACAUCGCUAAUUGGUUAUAGUCCAAUUUGCAUGAAUUUAUUUGUUUCACACUUAAAGAUCAACUUUAUCCUCGUCACUUGAUAACAAAAAUUAUUAAAAAAUAGCACAUAAGAAAAAUCUUUAAAAUAACAUUAAUUAAAGAAUAAAAUGAUUAAAUUAUUUCAAAUUCUAAGCUUUUAUUUUAACUUCGUCCUUUAAAUACUAAAAAUUAUAUAAUAAUCAUAAACUCAAAUAUAAAAUUUAUUAAAAUAAACUUUUGAUUAGUGUUAUUUUGGAAAAUUUUAUCUGAUGUGAAAUUUUGUAACAAAAAUGUUUAAUCUUAUCCUAUAAUAUUUUUUUUAGGAAAAUUCCAACUUUACCUCAAAUUUGAUUUCAUUUUUUAAAUUUACAUUUAAAUGAUAAUCAAUUUCAUAAAUUCAUCAAGUUUAUUAGAAAAACAGACAGAUUAACCCUUUUAAAUCAUUUAUGCAAGAAUUAGUUAUAGAAGUUUAUAAACCCACCACACUCCUAAAUCCUAAACCUUAAACCAUAAUCACUAAAUUUUAAAUCCAAAUGUUAGAGUGUUUUUGAUUGAUUGUAUUUUUUUAAAAUCAGUAUCCAACAUAAUUUAUGUCAAGUAACUUCUCAAAAUUUUCUUCUUUUUGGCCAACUAAAUUUUUUUUUACCUAUUUCUAAAAAAUAACUUUUGGAUUUAGUCAUUUUAACAUGGUAAAUAUUAGUCGAUAAAAAUGAUGAAAUUUUUGUGCUGCAAUUGCUGUAAAAAGCUCGACUAUUGCUAUUGCUUAGGGAUGGGUAAAAACAAAAAACAAAACAAACCAACCCAACCGAGCUAAACUAAAGUAAAUGUCGAAACUGUUUGGUUAAAAUUUUUAUCAACUCAAAUAUUUUUUUCUCGGUUUUAAACAGAACCUAAAAGUCAAAUUUAAAAAAAUUAAAUUAAAUAAAUACACUAAUAAUAUUAAGAUUUAAGAUAUUUAAUCAUUUAAAAAAUCAAGCAUAAUUUAUAUAUUUUACUUCUCAAUGAAUAGUAGAAAAAAACUAAAAACUAAAAUAAAAAUAUGAAUCUCUUACAUUAACAUCAAAACCAAAAAAUUAACUAUUAUAUUUAUCUUAGGUUUAAAAAUAAUAAUAAUAUAAAAUUAUUGAAUUACAUCUUUUAUAUUUUUAUUGAGAUUUUUUGGCUUUAUGUUUAAAUAUGAAGAAGAUAAUGAUUAAGUGUUGAUUUAUUUUAUGUUUUAAUAUUGUAACCGAAAUAGAAAAAAAUACUAAAAAAUUGACUCGAUUGAACUGAACAUAUACAAAUUAAAAAAAUGAACUAAAACCAAACUGAAUACAAACCAAAUUGUAUUAAAACUGUACUAAACCGUACAUACAACCAAACCAAACUAAUUUAGAUUGAUUUUGGUUUAAAAAAUUUAAAUCCAAAUAAACCAAAUCGAACCGAAUACAAAAUUAAACCGAAAUGUGCACCUUACUCUUACUAGCAGAGUUGUUGUCGAUUAAAUUAUCUUUGACCAUAACUAUAAUACUAUUAAAAAGAAUAGUUGAAAACAAAUAUUUGUGUGUACUUGGAACAUUAUUUUCUUUGUCUCCAUUUUACUUGUGGCCUAUGAGAAAAGACAAAUUUAAUAUUAAUUAAACAGAUAAAGAUGAAUUUGGACUGAUUUACCAAAAAGAUGAAUUUGGACUGAUUUAUCAAAAAGAUGAAUUUGGACUGAUCGACCAACAAACAACAACUAUUAUUUGUUCCUAAUUUAUCCAAAAGUUGAUGCAUAUGAUUGAUUUAACCAAUGUUUUCUCGGUAUCCUUGUAAAUGCAGCACUAAUUUGAAUUAGAGGACAUUUUGUUUUAUUUCAUACGUGGAACAAGAACCCUAAUAAAGUACACAUACGAGUACUGGCACUAAUUUAUCUCGCAACUCUCUUUUUGUCCGAUCUCAUGACUUUUACACUUGGGAAAGUUAACAAAAAAUUACAAAAAUAUUGGGAUUAAUGGAAGAAUCUUUCUACUGGAAUGUGAAACGAAGUGGUGCUGAUACGACGCUGUAUCAUCUUUCAGACAAAAGCUGCACGUCAGUGACAAUCAUCGUCUUGGGCAUCCAACAAAACAUUCUUCUUUUUACUUUGUUUUUUUCGGGUUUAGCAUAUUUCACAUUUGCCCCUUUUUCUUUUACAAAAAUAUCAUUCAACAUUUCUAUUUUUCUUUGGUAAACUCAACAUUUCUAUUUGUAAUACUGUUAUCGCAAUUAUUAAAGCAAGUUUUUGUUGUUGGUUUUUCAAAUAUAGCGUUUACAUCAAAAUAUAUUGUAACUUCAAACUGUUGAAUUACGACAAAAAAAACAUAUUUAAUUUCAUUCAUCAAAUAAAAUACUUACGGUGACAAGUAACAACUCAAUUAUAUGCAUUUUUCAAUAUUUUAUUUUAGCUUUGUUCAUAUUAUUUAUUUAUCCCAAAUGAAGAAGGAUUCCUUGAAUUUAUAUUUAAAUUAAAUAUGUCUCUAUAUAUGAGAUGAGUUUAAAAGAUGAAAUAAGUAAGACUAUCAUAAAAAUUAUUAUAAGCACAACAGAAAAUAUUAAUUAUAUCGAAAUAAAUACUUUAGAGUUUAUAAAAAAACUAAAAAACGUAUUUCGGUGAAACAUAAAGUCCAAAUAUAAUGCUAUGAAUUUAUGUUUGUUUUUAAAUUCUGAAAUUUCUUAUGGUUAAUUUUGAAACAAAAUUAACUGAGAUUUUCUCAAUAAUUAAUUUGACAUGUUAUUUCUCAAAAAUUAAUGUAGCACAUUUGUAAUCACACCUUAAAAUUUCACAGCCUAUUACUGGGGCGCACAGGUGAGGUGAAGAAGAAGAUUAUUAUAGGGAUCGAAAAAGAAGGGUUCACACGUGUGCACGCGCGACAACCAGUAGACAUAAGAGGCCACCCGUCGUGUUCGGGCAAAAGUCAUAUCCACUUGUUUUGGUCUCUGUAUGUAGCUACCUAUCCACGUUGCCCUCUUAAAUUGAAAACUCUUGCUCUGUCUCUUUCAUUUUGUUUUCUCCAGAAAUAUCAGACUUUUGUUCAUUCAGAAACCAUCGCUAUAUCAGAUGUUAUGUUCGUAAAUCGUAAUACACGCAGACCAUAUCAUUUAAGACGCAAAUUUGUUGUAUUUGAAACUGAAAAUAGCUUGACAGAAACGUAACACAUGAGUUAUUUUCCGUGUUUUUGUUCACCAUUAAUAUUGAUUGUUGAGUGUUUCAACUCUAUUGGUAUAAUAAAGAUUUCUAUUGGUAUGAUAAAGAUUUUUCCAAAAUUAUUCUACCUCAUUUAAUCUCGAAAUUGUAGGAGAAAUAAAUUACAACCAGGAUAUGUGGCAUUGUAGCAUUCUGGUAUGAAUGUGUUGAUGAUCACUUACUGUUAUGGUUGUGGCACCAAUCCAAACUCAAAGAUGCUAAUUAUAUAAGUACUUAUUCAAAAUUUAAAGGUGCUAUAACCAAUGACGCUUGUAACAAAAUUGAUAGUAUGUAGAUUUAUAAGACUCCAUAACUUUUUUGAUGAUACAAAAACAAAACAGGUAACUAUAUAUUGCUAAAACUGUUUUUUUUACUGAUAUUGUUAAAAUGUUAGAUUUAAUUAAUAUAAAUGGAAAAAAAUAAUAUAAAUGAACCAUCCGAUAAGUAGUCCAGCUCCGAAAUAGUACCGUAAUUUAGCUAUUCAAGUUUUGAGUAAUAAAAACAAAUGUUGCGUGCAACAAAAGCAAACGUAACCUACCUAUUGGAAGCAUUGUAUCUCGUCGAUCUGAAAUUUGGUAAAUCUACCUUGUCUAAUAUAUGUACAAAUUUUUAUGAGAAUCAAAAUAAUCCGCUAUAUUGUUUUUUUUUGUAAGUCUGAACAAAUCGGCAAGAUGUGUAUCAAAACCAUUUCAUCGCGAGCAUUCUGAUGGGUUAAGGACUUAAGGCACAGUAAGUGCAUGAGAAUGACGAGUCGUGUCGUGCAUGUUGCUAAAACUGUUAUUUUUACUGAUAUGUUAAAAUGUUAAAUUUAAUUAAUAUAAAUGGAAAAAAUAUAAUAUAAAUGAACCAUCCGAUAAGUAAUCGAUCCAACUCCAAAAUAGCACCGUAAUUUAGCGUACAACAAAAGCAAACGUAACCUACCUAUAUUGGAAGCUUUGUGUCUCGUCCCGAAAUUUUUAAAUCUACCUUGUCUAAUAUAUGUACAAAUGUUUAUGAGAAUCAAAAUCCUAUAUUGUUUUUUUUUAAGUCUGAAUAAAUCGGCAAGAUGUGUAUCAAAACCAUUUCAUCGCGUGCAUUCUGAUGGGUUAAGGACUUAAGGCACAGUAAGUGCAUGAGAAUGACGACUCGUGUCGUGCAUGCAUGGUUGUUCUGGGACAUGGUUUGCCCCUAGAGUCCUCUUUUAUUAAAUAUACGUAAACUUGUGGUGUAGUUUUACGUAUGAUAUGUUGCUGUCCAAUUGCUUUUAUUGAUUGAUAUGAUCACCAACUUCUUGCUUAUAACGGUCCACCUGCAAACUGUAGAACGACAUACAAAUUCUCAUCUUGAUUAUAUUUUCAACAUAUUAUAUUGUUUGGAGUGUUAGCUCUCUAAUUUUAUUGACAUAACGGAUCACAUAUUCUAUUUAAUUUGGUUAGCAUAAGCGAGAUUUUGCAUGUAUGCCACACUUAGAUAAACAUGAAUUUCAUGACCAAAAAUCUAAAUUAUACCAAAUAAAACUACUUGGGUUUGCGUUGUUAAUUACGUCACUGCAUUGGUAUAUAUGUUGAGUGAUGUCAAUCUAAUUAUAUUAGGCUGUAUUGCAUAACUUAAAGGCGCCUAUUAUAUACUGUGAAUACUACGAAUCCGAAUACUACAACUGAUUAUUUAUUUAUAGUAAUCGUUUUUGAAAAGGGCAAAUCUCCAAAAUAGCACAUUUCUAAGUUUAUAUCACAAAAAUAGCACUCAAAAACUAAAAUGACCAAAAUAGCAUUUUAUCUUUUGAAAAAUUUAAAUUUUUUUAUUUUUUAAAAUUUGAAAUCUUAUCCCCAAAACCUCAUUUCUCAACUCUAAACCCUAAAACCUAAACUCUAAACCGUUUUUUUUUUUGUCACGAAAUUCUAAACCUUAAACCCCACCCCUUGAGUGCUAUUUUUGUGACUUUUGAUCUUGAGUGCUAGUUUGGGAACAAAAACUUGAUUUAGUGCUAUUUUGGUCUUUUUCUCUUUUGAAAAUGUGCUCUUGCUAGUGUGUCUUAUGCUCCCUUUGUAUAGGAUUUUUUAGUGGCUACAGAUUAUCCCUUUUUUUCUUCUUAUUUGUUUUUAUACUUUAAGAAAGUGUACUUAUUAAAUUAAUAAUGUUUUAAAUGCUUUAUCAGUGUCUCGUAUCAUUAGGCUAUGAUUAAGCUAUUAAUAAACCUUAUUUGUUUCUAUACAUGUACGAUGAAUUCAUAUUCGGCGUCCGACUUACGUGGUAAGAACUAAGAACUAUUGCUAUAAGAUGCAUAGUACUCAUUUUGAAUUUUUAACAUACAUGGUAGAUUAGUUUUUUCAGAUAUUAUGGAAAGGAGUUUAACUUAUUAAAUUAACUUAGUUUGUUUAACUUACAUAUACAUACGAGAAUUACAUGCGUCUAAUAUAAUUGUAAUCUUCAUUAAAGUCGCACUUGGGACAAAAACAAUUCAAUUUAACUAACAAAUUGUGGUAAAAUAGAAUCAAAUUAUUGGAUACUCUUGUCCAUGACAUUUGAGACCAUGUCUCUGUCACUCUUGUCCCCUAUCUUAUUUAUCAUGAUUAAUAUUCAGUAAAAUCAACUCAAAUAAUUACUUUUCUCAUUAAUUUAUUUUAAAUUUAAAGUAGUUUCACGAAAGUAAAACAACUGAAGCAUUGGUAAGUGAAUUCCUUGGGAGAGAUUGUGAAGUGCGGUUACUAGUUACUUCCUCCAUCUUAUAAUAAAAAUAGAUUUUUGCACAUAUAUUAUGAAGAAAACUGAUAUUUUUUUUAUAUUUAUCUCUAUUUAGUAUACCGUUUUGUUUAAUUUUAUUAAUUUAUGAAUUAAAACUAAAAAUAAAAAAACUAGAAAUUUAUUUAAUACUUAUAUCGAAAAUGUAAAAUAACAUUUAUAAUAAAACAAAUUUGAAAACUUAAAAUAACAUUUAAUACGAAAUAGAGAGAAUAGUGAAUUUUUUUGGUCAACUACUGGUUAGUGAAUUUAAAUUUUGAAAAAUUAAUUAUUUUUGUUAUAGGAUACAGUAUAUUAUUAGAACAUAAAACCAUCAAACAAUUUACUAGCUAGUAAAGAAAAUUGGAUCUAAUUUUCAUUGCGUUUGACUCAUAUUCAAAGACUCCAUAAUUGAUUGGUAAUUAAACUAAAUGAGUAGAGUCGUAGUUAUUUGCUCCAAAGUGUUGAAAAUACAAACCAGUGAUAAAGUAAACCAUAAUAAAUUUUAUUUUUAUGAGUGGAUCCCAACCAGAGCCGUGCUUAGAGGCUUUUGAAAAAGGCAUUCGCCUAGGGCCCCCAAAUUUUGUAGAAAUUUUAGGGCCCCAAAUUACAAAAACAAAAAUAUUUUUUCAUGGUAGUUAACAUAUUCUAUUAGUUAGAUUUUUAUUUUUAUUUGAAUUUAAAUUUGAAUUCUAUUUAAAGUAACUAGGUUUGUAAUCAUUUUUGCUAUAUUUUAAAUAAAACUAUAAAGAUUCUACUUCUAAAAAACUGUAAAUAUUUGAUCACAUUGGUCUUUUCUUUUAUAUGCUAUGAGCUAGAUUUAUUUUAUAUAUUUAUGAAAAUUUGAUAAAGAAAAUAUAAUAUUUUCAAUAUAUAGUUUAUUAUAGUUAAUUUAAAUGCUAAGAUUUACAUUUUUGACAGCUACUAACAUUUCAUUCAAAAAUUUAUAUCCUUGUAUUUAUAUUACAAAUUCAUACUUUUUGUUCAUGAUUUAAAAAUUUUAUUUAUAAAAUUUUGGUGAAGAAAAUUUAGAAAACGUUUACGUAAUAAGUCAAAACUUUUGAGUGUUAUAUAUAUAUAUAUAUAUAUUAUUGAAAAUAUAUCAUGUAAAUUAUAUUUUUGAACUCGCCUCGGGCCUCCGAAAACCUUCGCACGGCACUGAUCCCAACAAGUGACAGUAAAUAACAUCGACCUCUAUUUGCUAUCUAAAUUAUUGACAAAGGGUAGAAAAAUCUGUGUUUCCUAUUUUCAUGCUUUUCAACUCAUCUCCAAAGAUCUAUGAUCUUCAUCUCAGGCACUUCUUGAUAUCAAAGUUCUGGCUAAUUUAGUCAUUAAUUAAUCCAAAUUAUAACUACGAGCUGAUCAACCUAAGUACUAGUAGUAAACUCAUUUUGUGGAAACACUUACAUUUAUAUAUAAUUAACCUCACUCAUGAUAAAACUGUAUUGAUCCAAAAUUAAUUAAUCCACCCCAAACCAAAGUAAGUAAUUAUUUAUAUUAGAAACUAAAACAAUUAAUUCAUCUGGAGAUAAUACGAUUCGUGGUCAAACGAGUUGUUUCGUAGACGGGAAGCUCUUCGCGAUACCUUUCGAUCCCUAUGGACGAUAGAUUAUCCAAUUCAAACAGGUCAGAGCUCGCGCAACUCGCAGCAUCAUCGUCAUCGUCGUCGUCUUCUUCUUCGACGUCUUUAUUCUCCCGGUAAGUUCUGAUAAGCUCCUUGGCGGCCUCAAUCACGCGACGAUUCUCCUCCAUAACUCGGCUUUGAUGGUGGCGAAUGGACUCUCGUUGCUUGGAGUCUUCGUCGAGGAUGACGUUGACGGGGCAGAAACGAACAGACCGUUUCGAUUUUUCGCUGGACGACGUCGUUUUGCUCAAACAAGAUCUGGAGAAGGAAGACGCUGACGAGCAAGUGGUGUGUGAUGACGUGGCGGUGGAAACGGUUUUAUUCGGUUUCUUCGUGUUUCCUGUGAAGAGAGAGUUAAGGAACGUGGCGAGGCGUCCGCCGGGAGAGAUCGGCUGCUUCACUUUCUUCAAAUCGCUGUACAUCUUCAACGCCUUCGAUUUCACUUUAUUGUUAGGUCGCUCGAGUCUCUCCACGGCGGUUCGAAUCGGCUUAGGAUGGUGAUGAAUCACCGGCGGAGAGCGAGACGAGCGAGUUCGUUUGUAGAAGGAGUCUGACUCGGAGGAGGAGAAUCCGCUCGAGUCGGAGGAGCUGGAGCUUGAGUGCUUGAAGAAAACUGGCUCGACGAUGUUUAUUUCGGCGGUUUUGCGGCGGUUAACGGCGAAAUCGGCGGCGGUUUUGCGGCGGUUAAGGAGGAUUUUCUCGAGGCAGACGCGAUUCUCGUCGAGAUAGGCGGCGCGGCUCUGUUUCUUCCUCAUGGAGACGUCGGAGGAGUCGUCGGUGGAGCGGUAGAUUUGGUCGAGGAGAGAGGAGGAGAAGGAAGGAUGGCGGUGGUCGCGGCGGUUUUGCGGCGGUUAAGGAGGAUUUUCUCGAGGCAGACGCGAUUCUCGUCGAGAGAGGCGGCGCGGCUCUGUUUCUUCCUCAUGGAGACGUCGGAGGAGUCGUCGGUGGAGCGGUAGAUUUGGUCGAGGAGAGAGGAGGAGAAGGAAGGAUGGCGGUGGUCGCGGCGGCGGUACUGGUGGUCUAUAGUGUUGUUAUCCCAAGGAUCCAUGAGAUUUUUUGAGUUUAUAUAGAGGAAGGAGGUAAUGAUAGUGUUGGAGUUUCGGGUGAAGAGCGAGAGAGAAUGAUGAAAGAGAGAGAGAGAAGAAGCACGCUUUGUUUCUUCUUCUCUCGUGAGCUGAGAGUGAGGAGGAGGAAGAAGAAGAAAGAAAGAGAGGGUCUUAUCAGCCAAAUGUUACUCACUGCCACGUGUCUUAUUAUUUUCCUAUGGGUAAACAUUGGGUAUUUACUUAGGUGGAAGUGCCAGACGGGAAUAUAGUUGUUGGCAACAAACAAUGUAUAUUACUGUAUAUUUAACUCUUUUUAUUAAUUAUUAUUUAUUUUUAUUCAUGAAUAAUUAACUUGGUAGGUCUUACUUUUAUUAGGGAAAUUGCAUUCACUAUACACAACAAAAACUAAAAUUCAUUAACUAACUAAAAACACUUUCUCUCUCUUACUUUAUUUUCAUAUCUCUCUACUCUCUCUCUCUAAAAAUCUAAUUUCCCUGAUUUUUUUGGUUAUUUAGCAAAUAAACCCUACUAGUUAACCAUGUGAGUUUUUUUUUACCUAACGUAGCUUUGUGGGGAAAUAGUUUUUUUUUUUCAAUUAAGCUUUCGAUGGGUGGUUAUCUAAUGAAUAUAAAAAAUAAACAAAAUAGUAAAGAAAUUGAAUACACAAAAGUAUGAAUUAUUUUAGCAAAUAUUCUCACUCAAAAUUGGAGAAAAUGACAUUUAUUUAUAAGUUUGUUUAUACCUUAGCAAAAAAAAAAAAAGAAUUAAACACAUGUAUCAGUAAUUUGACAAAAACUAGAUUUAGUUAUUAUAAAAAAUAUUUCAUACUGUUUUUAAAAAAAUGGUCAAGCUUUAAAAAACUAAUACUCCCUUUGAAUCAUUUUAAGAGACGUUUAAGGUUUUUGCACGAAUAUUAAAAAAAAAUACAAACUUUUAUGUGAUUAGCUUUGGUUACAUAAAAUAACAUUAAAUAAAAUUAAUUUAAAAUACAAUAUUUUAUAAUUGGUUAAAAUUUCAAAUGACAUUAAAUUUCAUAUAGAAUAUUUUUAAACACGAGUUAAACUGAUACGGAGGGAGUAGUGAAUAUACCAAAGCACUAAAAUUAAUAAAACAAAAGUAUAACUUGCAUCUUGUUUUUAGAUUCAGACAUAAGUGGAAAAACGAUUUUUUCUAAUUACUAUUUCGUAUUUUCACUAGUUCAAUUCCAUUUGUUUUCUCCUGAUUUUGUUUUUACCUGAUUCAGACCAUUCAGAAUUUCAGAUCACUCGUUACUUUUUUUCUUCUUUUUAUCAUUUACACAGCUUUACACACGAUUUCAUGAAUGUGAAAUCAAAUUGUGACACAACCAGAACACUAAUUAAUAUGUACAAGACAAUCGGUUACAAACCUUGAUCAUCGGCCAUAACUUGUAAAAACAAAAGUUGUACGUGUAUUUCAUAACACAAAAAAAUUAUAAAUCGUUGAUUUAUUACAGCAAAUCCAGUGUUGAUACUUGGGUCCAUUACAGCUUUUCUUUUCAAAAUUUAUAUAUUCGUGAAUACUAUUAUAAUUAUAUAUAUAUAUACAUAUAUGUUUUCAACUAGUCUAAUUAUAUAUUAGGUACUAUACACUAAACUGUUCUGGAAUUAGCAGUUAUUCAGUAUGAGUAAUUAGAAAAAUAUAUAACAUUACAUGUUUUAUACUAUAUACAUAGAUCUUUCUAAAAAGAAUUAAAUAUCGAAGUUGUCAUUUACAUUACUUUGAGAACUUUGGAUUUUUGAAGAAAUAUGAUCACAAAAGCUUCUGACCGUUUAACGUUCCUCAAAUAUGUGUACAUUUUUUUUUUUGCUGAAAAGGACUAGAGUCUAAAUAUAUAAGAAAGAUAAUCUAUGCUAGUACAAAAAAUUUCAAAACUUAAAACUAAAAGUACAUAUUGCUAUCUUUAGAUAUGAUUGUGUAAACAAUAAUUGUAACGCAUACACUUAAAAUGAAGGCACGGUUUGUCAAACUUCAAGAGAAAAUCUAGGGCAAAGGGACCAGAAAAGUAAACCCUAGGGAUAUACAUAGGAUUCGCUUUGUAUGUGAACGCCUUAACGGUGCGAUGUGAAUCAAAAAUGGCUAAAAGAAAGAUUAUAGAGAAUGAAUAGUCAAGCAAUGCGGCUAAAAGGCUCAGUCACAUAAUUUGACCCAACACCAACACUGAGACACUCCUCAUGAACAGAUAUUAAUUAUGUUGCAAGCCAUUACCUUGAUACUAUGGCAAUUUUAACUUUUAAAAGAGUUUAUUCACAUACUUUGAUUGUCUUCAUUGUUGAAAUCUCUAACUUGUCUUUUAUUUCCCCAAAAGUAAUUUAUUAACUUUCACUACUCGAUCAUGCUUUGAAAUCAUUCUAUGUUCCCCAAUUUGUUUCACGUUUAUCGUUUCCUUUUCAUAAGCUAAUCAAACUAAUUGUUAUUAGUGCAUCCAUCUUAGUUGAUAAUUAUUGGAUCUACCACGUUAAUUCGUACUUGAUAUAUGGAGAAGCUUAAUGACUAUCCUAAGAAAUACAAUGGCUUAUUUUUCGGACAACUCAGGAAGUCAACGUCAAUCAAACGUGUACGUACAUACAUACAUUGAUAUAUAUUUUUAAUAUUUUUAAUAUCUUGAGGCAGAAUGUUGGAGGAAGGCUAACGAAAAUGAGGAAGCAAAUGAGGAUCAGGACGAUCCGUCCACUACAGAGAUUGAGACAACAUCCCCUUGGAUACUCCGAAUCCCUACUUGUCAAAUUGAUGCAUCAUGGAUCAAUAAUGGCAGUGUCAGUGGCUUAGGGUGGAGUCUUAAGGAUCAGAUGGGAUUAGAAUACUUCGGGUUACGCGCGUGUAACAGGAACCUCUCAGCUUUGCACGCUGAGAUGGAAGGGCUACUUUGGGCAGCCUCAUGUAUGAGAGACAAAGGGAUCACUGCAGUACGGUUUGAGACGGACUGCAUGGACUUAGUGGAUAUGACUACAAACCCGAUGGACUGGCCAGCUUUCGCGACAGAGAUCGAGGUGU